rnacentral:lncRNA from 1 species
AUUUGCCCUGAUAACUUUGUACUGAGCGUUUGCUACACAUGUUUCCAGGUGACUCGGACAUCAUCACCACCGUUCCUCAGUGAAGACAAGCUUACCUAUCCUAGCCUAAGAUGAUGUAGUGUGGAGAGUCGUGCUUACAAGGCCGAUGGCCGUCUCGUUAUCGAGCCAGAGCUGCCAAACGCAGUUUCAAACCAAACAUGGCUGUUUUUGUAAGGCAUUCCUAUGGGUUUUGUUUUGUGAUGAGAUGAUUAUUUCUAUGGUCCUUUUUACCUUGCGCAAUUGAUGAUUAGUUCUGUCAACAUUGUUUUGCCUUGCUCCUCUAGUGAAACGGAACUUGAACAGCUAGUCACUUAACUGAAGAAUUGCGUGAGAGUUGGUGAUGCUUGUGUAAUCUUUGCUCCGGAGAAAUGGAAUGGUUUGGAAUGGUUUUUGUUUCGCCGCGGUAGAGUAGAGAUGCUGGUUUUGUUUGUGAUGAAACAAUUUCACGGAACCUGGCACUCUAAUUUCACUACCGCCAGAGCAUUGCAAAGGUUCACCAGACGACGCUGGUGAAUUUGUUACCGAGGCUUGUCUCUUUUGCUGGGGCUCAUCUUGAUCCCAACCCAUUACCCGUUUGCCACAAGAUAUAUCCUGUACACGCACAGAUGUAUGGCUGCUGGUUGAUUCCUAGAAUAGCAUCUGGUCCAAAGACGUACACAAUUCGGAUGGCCACAGCCGUCGGCCUCGGCCAUGUAUAGGGUAUGCAUUGCGGGGUGCUGGUCUGGUGGAAAUCUAAAGCUGACCAUUUCAGAUAUAACAUAAAUUCUUGCUCCAAGCUAUAACAUUUUUGGCGACCGAUGACCAACUUGGCUUUGUACGGUCGAUAGAGGUUGAAUGUCUUGUCUUUUGCAUCAAGAUCGCACAUUCUCAGCGUCUCCAAUCGCAGAUGCUGAAAUUUCAUCUGACUUGUUUCAUAGUAAGUCUUUCUUCACCUUGAAGACGCAAACAGAUCUCCGCAACACCGGCCACACCACUAAUCUCUUCCUCGGUUGCUUCCUUGAGAACUUGAGCAACUACAAUUUCAGCAAGUGGUUUCUCCCUUAUCUCCCAAAGGAAGUAAUUGGAUAAGUUUUGCUUUAGCCCGGAGUCAGUGGUAAAAAUAGGCUCCUUUCGAAGGAGCAACUCCACAAGUACCGUACCGAAACUGUACACAUCACUCUUCUCAUUUAAAAGGCCAGUGUGAUAAUAUUCUGGAUCUAAGUACCCAAGGAAGAGGGCUCCAGCUGCUUCUAUAGCAAUUCUUAAGCAAUCAUCCCACGACAAGGAAGAGUUGUUGUUUGGAUUAUGAAGAACACCAAAUAAUGAACCAUUAGGUAUGAAGUCAUACACAAGUAGUGGAACAUCAGUCUCAAGGCAACAUCCAAAGAGCUUCACAAUAUUUCGGUGAUUUAUCUGUGAGAGGGUAGCAACCUCGUUGAUGAACUGACUAAUCUCAAUUUGUGAAGUGACUUUAGACUUUUUAAUGGCCACUACUCGUUGGUCAGAUAGGAUGUCUUUGUAUACCAUGCCAUGCCCUCCACGACCAACGAUACGUGUGUGGUCAAAGUUAUUUGUUCCCUUUUGUAGCUCUGCCAAAGAGAAAAUCUUUGUUUUGUCAUUCACAUUUUCAUCGAAAGAAAUAAAUUGUUCUAGAAGAAAACCUUGGUUCUUUUUGAAAUACUUUCUUCGCAAUUGCUUUUCGAUAUCUAAUUUCCACCUUCGGAUAAGAAAUAUUGCAAUUAUGAUGAGAAGUAGAAUGCCAAAACCAACGCUUAGCCCAAUGACAAUACGUGCAAUGAUAGUGUUCAUCAAAUCUGUACUUAGCCAAAAGUAUUGUUUCACGUCGCUCACUGUGGAAUUGAUUAUACCAUUGAACUCACCAAGUAAAAGACUCUGCCUCUUUGUUGAAGUGCACUUCAUUGCUAGGAAGUCAUAUUCUGUUUUUCUAGGACAUGCGGUGCAAUUGUGGCUUCCAAUAGUAUUAUGACAAAGCCCUUUACAAAUACCAGAAGUCUCACACUCAUCAAUAUCUGCAAUAUAUGGGUGAGGUUUGAGAGGAGUUUAUAGUGUGUAAUAAUCAUUAUACAUUUACUAACAUUGUCAAAAAAAUUAAGUAAUAUAGGGCUUUCAUAUUUUUUUGGGGGUGGGUUUUGCAGCAAACAAAAAUGAUGGUUAACUCUCUAAAAUGGCCAUAUAGUUACUAUAGCUAGGGGCUCAUCGCCUUAAUAUAGGUUGACGCACUCAAAGUUUGGAGUGUCUGAUCUGCAUGCAAGCUAUUUUCAUUCUACUCUAUGCACAGAGUUAAUUAAUGAAGAAGCCAUAGAUAAUAAUUUAGUGUUUAUGUAAACAUUUCUGUGAGACAAAACAAAAUCCAACACUCCUUCAGAACACACCGCUCUAAAAGGUUAUUGAAGUGUAUUAUUGUACUUUUUGCCACUAACUAAGACAAGUAGUCAUCAAUCCGUGCUCCUGCAAGGGCUAGAGAUUUCUCUACUUGACAGGUAUUAUCGUGUCAAAGAUAUUUUUAACCAUGAAAAUGUAAGUGAUGUACAAAUGAAUAUUAACACAUUCACAUUAGACACAUACGAAUGGGAAUUCUAGACUCACUGAGAACGCCUUACUCCUCUGCUAGUUUCCCGUGUUACUCGUUCGCUGCUCUCAUUUAUCUUUGUUUGUGUUAUUUACUUUUGAUUCACACUCUACUCAAAAACAUUAUUUAUCUCCGCCCUCACUUUGCUCUUUUUUGCAAAAGCCCUCACUUUGCUCCGAGUCUACAAUUAUUUGCACGCACAAUUCCAUAAGUCUCUACAAGGGACAAAUAUCCUAUUCAUGUGCUCCAUGUGGGAUUGAUACUCUUGCUUCUAAAAGGCUACAAUUAAACCCUAUGCAUUUGCAGGACAUCAACUGCGCCGAAAAAAAUGAUGUGGCAACAAGCUAUGGAAAAAUAAACACCUGUAGUUGAACAAAACCCCCUUUAUGUUUGAAAACCGUAUACUUUGCACCCCAGUUUACAGUCACUUAGCUUGAAGCCAACCCAUCCCAAGGGUAAUAUCAUCGCAACCCAGCGGAAAAAGUAUGAAUGCGGGUCCAAAAAAAGGCCAUGUAUCUUGCAAUCGUGGAUUGGCAACUCCAUGCCAUGUUGAAUAACAUCCUUAGUGGCUACCUUCACAUCCAAAGGAUUUUCAUGGUUGCAGACCCCCCAAGACUGAGAUACUUUAGUGUUUAAAAAUUUGUGAAACCUCCCAGAGUCCACCAACACGAGUAGAACAUUUUCGCCCACCCUGCCAGAUAAUUAUAGAACACUUUUGGGGCUUCAAUACCACUAACUCUUGCAGCAGACAACAGACAUAGAUCAUCCUUGGAGCUCUCCCAGGCGCUGGUGGUGGCUCAGGUAAUGAUGGUGGCGAGAUCUUGCCCACCAAUUCUUCGAUCACCGCACCAUGGGUGCACAAGUAUGCCCGUGAUCCCAAUGCUAGCCACAUGUGAAAGAAGGCCUUACUAAAAGCACAUAAAGACUAGAGCUUGUUGUCGACAAAAGAAGCCAUGGGUGACGAUGAUUAGGCGAUGUCCAAUCCACGAUGCUUCUCCAAUGAGGUCGGGGAUAGCAAGGAGUUGGCUUGUCAUCCGACGCCUGGCGUCGGUGGCUCCAAUGUCGCUAAAGAUGGGCAUGGCACAAACCACUCAGUGCAGGCGCCUGGAGAAUUAUCGUAGUGCGGUGUCAUGGUGUCUAAUUCUUGGCACACCAUUUCUACCACUUCCUCGUGCAAUUUAUCCAAUGCAACGACUGUUUCCAAGUCUUGGGGAUGGUGUAGCAUUAUAGAUAUUUUGAUAUCAUGUGACAAACCAUCUAGGAAAUGAGUAGCGAAAAACAGGGGAUCCCAGGAGCUAUAGUGCUCCAGUAAAUCAUGCAUCAUUACAUUAAAUUACUCAACAUAUUCUCACACAUAUCCCACUCUUUUUUUAACAACAGAUAUGCCUCUUUUUAAGCCGAGAAUAUUUUCUCAAUAGAUGCUGGAACUCUGAAAGCCCACAUUUCUCUAAGACGGGCCCACAAAAGGCAUCCCAUUUAGCACAUUUCACGUGAGCCUAGAAUGGAGUAAGGGCACGCCGGGUGUUUCAGUUCAAGAGCUGAGCGCCAAGCUCCAAACACUUUCAGAAAGUCUAUGGGGAUGGGACAGAAAUACUUUUGGUAACGUCCAGGCGGAAAUAAAAAAAGCUCUACAAAGAGCUGGACAUAUUACAGAAUGUUCCAGGCAAAGAUGCUCCAAGUCACCACGAGCUGAAGAUAACUGAAUGCCUUGUCGAGCUUUAUUAUCGGGAGGAGAUCCUCAUGCGGCAGCGGUCACGAGUUGACUAGCUCACCGAUGGCGAAAAAAACACGUGCUUCUUUCAGCUGCGUGCUUCCAACCACCGCUGGAAGAACCUCAUCAAGUCCUUGGUCAAGGAUGAUGGACAAGUCACCGAAGAUAGCAAGGAGAUGGAAUGCACGACCACUAAAUUCUAUAAGAAUAUUUACUAUUCUAAAGGGGUUGAGAACAUGCAACAUGUUUUGGAUACAGUCCCUAAAAAUAUCACUAAUGACAUGCAAGCCCAUUUGGACGCCCCAUAUAGUGCUGAGGAGGUAAAAACAACUCUCUUCCAGGUGUUUCCUUCAAAAGCUCCGGGCCCCGAAGGUUUUCCGGCCAUUUCUUCCAGAGACACCGGGAUGUUUGUAGCCCCGAAGUAACAAAGGUUGUUCUGCAAAUUGUCGAAGGGAAAGAGAGCACUGAAAGGAUCAACAAGAUGGGUGGAAAGGCCCUCUGUUACCUGUUUUUGUUGGUAUCAGUCAUCUCAGAUGGGUGGAAUUCAAGUGCGCCUAUGGCAUCCCCUGUUAACCACUUCUUAUUUACAGAUGAUAUCCUGCCGUUCUUCAAAGCCAAUGUUGUAGGGGCGACUGAGCAAAAAAUGCAUGACAAAUGUCAAAGAUGAGAUAAACAAUAUUCUUCAAGUGCCCAAUGAAACCUUGAAUGCUGGUACUUGGGUAUGCCCUCUGAUGUAGGCUCUUCUAAAUAGGUGGCUUUUAAAUAUUUAAAGGAUAGGGUAUGGAACAAGGUUAAAGGAUGGGUGACAAAACUUUUCUCUUCGGCUGGCAAAGAGGUUUUGAGCAAGUCAGUGGCUCAUGCGGUUCUAGUUUACUCUGUGUCGUGUUUCAAAUUACCGAGAGGCUUAUGUGAGCACCUGAAUAAACUCAUACGACAAUUCUGGUGAGGAACAAAGAAGGCCAAAGGAGGCCGUCAUGGGUUUCUUGGAAGGACAUGACCCAACGAACGUUUCUGGGUGGAUUGGGAUUCAGGGUUUUCGAGCUUUUCAACCUAGCGCUGCUUGCUAAACUGGCGUGGCGCAUUCUACAAUAUCCUGACACUCUUUGUCCCAUGAUGCUGAAAGCUAUUUAUUUCCUCCCUGGUAAUAUUUUGUCAGCCGAAGUUGGGAACCAUUCUUCACAGAUAUGGAUCAUGGAUAGCAUCUUACUGUUUGUAAACAAGGAGGAGUACUAAUAACAGAGUACUACGUACAUGCUAACACGUAAAGGAGAUUGGAAGAUGCCAAUCUGAAAAGGACGACUCCUAUUAGUAAGUGUACUUAGGAAACGGAAAAUCCGAACACAAUAUAUUAGAAGCCGGAUAAUAUCUAGCGUGGUAGAGUCGCUGAUGACAUAAAUUCUUGCUCCAAGCUAUAACAAUUUUGGCUUCUCUCGGAAGAUGAAUUUGAGCUUCCCACCUUCCCAGCUGCAGUAGCUAAAGACUGAUGACGAACUUGGCUUUGUACUGUCAGCAUAGGUUGAAUGUCUUGGUCUUUUGCAGCAAGCUCGCACAUUCUCAACCUCUCCAAUCGCACAUGCUGCAAUUUCAUCUCGACUUCUUUCAUAGUAGGUCUUUCUUCACCUCGAAGACGCAAACAGAUAUCCGCAACACCGGCUACACCACUAAUAUCUUCCUCGGUUGCUUCCUCGAGAACUUGAGCAGCUACAAUUUCAGCAAGUGGUUUCUCCCUUAUCUCCCAAAGGAAGUAAUUGGAUAAGUUUUGCUUUAGCCCGGAAUCAGUGGUAAAAAUAGGCUCCUUUCGAAGGAGCAACUCCACAAGUACCGUACCAAAACUGUACACAUCACUCUUCUCAUUUAAAAGGCCAGUGUGAUAAUAUUCUGGAUCUAAGUACCCAAAUGUACCUUGUAUAUUCGUCAUAACAUGGGUCUGGUCAAUAGGAACCAACCUCGAAGCACCAAAGUCUGACACCUUUGCUGUAUAAUUCCCAUCCAGGAGUAUAUUUGUCGACUUCACAUCACGAUGAAAGAUUGAUACAGAAGCAGCUGAAUGAAGGUAAGAAAGGGCUCCAGCUGCUUCUAUAGCAAUUCUUAAGCAAUCAUCCCACGACAAGGAAGAGUUGUUGUUUGGAUUAUGAAGAACACCUAAUAAUGAACCAUCAGGUAUGAAGUCAUACACAAGUAGUGGAACCUCACUCUCAAGGCAACAUCCAAAGAGCUUCACAAUAUUUCCGUGGUUUAUCUGUGAGAGGACAGCAACCUCGUUGAUGAACUGACUAAUCUCAAUUUGUGCAGUGACUUUAGACUUUUUAAUGGCCACUACUCGUUGGUCCGAUAGGAUGCCUUUGUAUACCAUGACAUGCCCUCCACGACCAACGAUACGUGUGUGGUCAAAGUUAUUUGUUGCCUUUUGUAGCUCUGCCAAGGAGAAAAUCUUUGUUUUGUCACUCGCAUUUUCAUCGGAAGAAAUCAAUUGUUCUAGAAGAAGACCCUGGUUCUUUUUGAAAUACUUUCUUCGCAAUUGCUGUUCGAUAUCUAAUUUCCACCUUCGGAUAAUAAAUAUUGCAAGUAUGAUGAGAAGUAGAAUGCCAAAACCAACGCUUAGCCCAAUGACAAUACCUGCAAUGAUAGUGUUCAUCAAAUCUGGACUUAGCCAAAAGUAUUGUUUCAUGUCGCUCACUGUGGAAUUGAUUAUACCAUUGAACUCACCAAGUAAAAGACUCUGCCUCUUUGUUGAAGUGCACUUCAUUGCUAGGAAAUCAUAUUCCGUUUUUCUAGGACAUGCGGUGCAAUUGUGGCUUCCAAUAGUAUUAUGACAAAGCCCUUUACAAAUACCAGGAGUCUCACACUCAUCAAUAUCUGCAAUACAUGAGUGAGGUUUGAGAGGAGUUUAUAGUGUGUAAUAAUCAUUAUACAUUUACUUAGAUCAGUUAACAUUGUCAAAAAAAUUAAGUAAUAUAGGGCUUUCAUAUUUUUUUGCGGGGUGGGUUUUGCAACAAACAAAAAUUAUGGUUAACUCUCUAAAAUAGCCAUAUAGUUACUAUAGCUAGGGGCUCAUGGCCUUAAUAUAGGUUGACCCACUCAAAGUUUGGAGUGUCUGGUCUGCAUGCAAGCUAUUUUCAUUCUACUCUAUGCACAGAGUUAAUUAAUGAAGAAACCAUAGAUAAUAAUUUAGUUUUUAUGUAAACGUUUCUAUGAGCCAAAACAAAGUCCAACACUCCUUCAGAACACACCGCUCUAAAAGGUUAUGAAAGGGUAUUAUUGUACUUUUUGCCACUAACUAAGACAAGUAGUCAUCAAUCCGUGCUCCUGCAAGGGCUAGAGAUUUCUCUACUUGACUGGUAUUAUCGUGUCAAAGAUAUUUUUAACCAUGAAAAUGUAACUUCUAAUAGGGAGUUUAAGUGAUGUACAAAUGAAUAUUAACACAUUCAUACUUCUAAAUACAUUGUGAGUUCAAGUAAUCAUAUAGAUAAAAAUAGAAGUGCUAUGUUAAUGCACCUGAUAUUAUUUGCAUGAAUAAUUAGUUAUUUCAACUAAUAAACUAGAGUACAAGCAUUGAAACAAUAGAUAUGAAAUGAUUCCCAAAUUCUUUGUUCAUGUGUUCUAUAUAUGUUGGAUGAGCAAUAGAAGAUGCUUUAGGGAAUCGGAACAUGCUUUGGGAACAUCUCCACUGCUUGCGAGGAUAUCAAAGAGGAAGCAUAAAAACUAGGUACUGAGAUCUCUCCGGCUUGAUUGUAAGCUCGGGGGAGAUCCUAGAGUACUUUAUAUCUCUACUUUCAUGUCUUUAUUUUCUGCAACUGGAGAUUAGCUCGCUAGUUGUUGGUUAAGUUUGAACUAUUCAAUUCCUUUCGAAUAAGGGAAGACCCCUUUCUGAUGCGCUAUGGAUAUUUAAUUAAUUGAUGCCAUCAUUUUGAUUGGGAAGCAUAUGAGAUGGUGGUUUUCUGCAAUUAGUAGCUAAUGUUCACUACUGAGAUGAUCAUAAGUCUUCCACACACAGUUUUUGAUUGAUUAGAGAAGGAAAAUAACUAUAUGUGCUAGCCCAUCAGUUUGCAACCCCUAAAAAAUUUUAUAAGCAUAAAUGAUUGGGACUUAUGUCUAAUCAAAUAAACAAGUUGAAGCAAAUAACUAAGGGAUAAAAUUCCUCUUAAAAUAAUAGAAGUUUUUAAUCCCUAUUAAAUGAAUAUGUUUAGCUUGCAUGUCACAUAAGAAUAAAAUGUGAGAUGGUCACCUAAACAUGUUUCAUGCUCGGGAAACAGAAAGUAAUGAAAAAAAUCAAUAAAAGAGACUCCCUACAAUUUGCUCAGUUGAAAUAAAAGAUGGCCUACUACAUAAAGUUGUAUCUUGUUCAUUAAUGAAUUGUGUAACGAGGCGUGAAAGGCUUCAUGAUCAUCCUAGUAGUGGAGAUGCGCUAUCAAUUGUUGCAUUCUUCUGUCUCUUUCCGUUUCGAUAUCUUGUGAUGGACUCAUGCCUUUGUAUAUAUCUUCAUGUCAUAAAAUUAAGACGACCUUAUUUACAAGCUGCGGUGUUUGCUCGGGGACGGGCAAAAUUUAACCUUAGGGGAGUUGACGAGUCCAAAUUUUGUUUAUAUUUUAAUCCUUAUUUUAUGCCUAUAUGGUUGGCUUUGUGGAAUUUUACCGCGUUCACGCAUGUCUUUUUGUCGAAUUCCCUCAGGAUGUAUUUUUGGAAGUGAUUAGAGUGACAGGGAAAGAACUCCAGGAAACAAUGGUACAAUCAUGUCAAUUAAUGUGAUUAACAACUACCAUAAAAAAUUAAAGCAAUUUGGAGAAAGCUGGAAGUUGUGAAACGCCUCUAGAGAACAAGACGGCGUGCCAUACGAAUGCACACACUCGUACCAGCUGCUGUCGCUUCCUCUUCGUCGAGUACUUCCACCCCGUGGAAUCAGACCGUGAAUUAGAUGCAUACGAAGACCAUAAACUCGUCCAGACGAGAGAACCUAGCCCCUGAAUGCCAUCCGAAGGGGGGAUAGGAGGAGAUUGCCAUGUUCAUCAUGAUGUGCAAGAGGAUAAUGACAUCAACCAUCUCCAUCAUUUGCCAUUAUCAUCUAUCAUCUCUAUCUCGUUGUAAUGCUCAACCGUUUGUGGAUUGCUCCAUGUAUUACUCAUUUGAUCCAUCCGUGUUUUUCAUUGCUAUGCACUGGAUGUUCUUCAUUCCUAUGUACGAGUAAAACCCUAGUUCUUGGGGAUAUGGAUGAACCUUGGUAUGUUUAGGUGCUGAAAACGUUGAUAAGGAUAUGAUAUCCUUUUUUGAAUGUUUAGUUUAAUAAUAUUUAUGAAUGUUGUGAAGGGGACCCACUCAUCAUUUCUGUCGUAACUCCACAAAGCCUAUUACUGUCAUGGUAAAGGUUAGGAAAUGAAGGUCAUUCAGGUGACAGUAAAAGCCUUCACUCCUCUCUUUUGCAAUUGAUAAGGGAUAAAUAAGGAGAACCAUUCUAAGGCCGCGUCUACAGGAAAACCCGUAAUUAAUGACCAUAGUUGUAACUUAGAGGGGGAGACUACGGUGGUGGUGUGUGUGGUACGAAGGCUACUAGAGUAGAACGUAUUCUGUAGCUCGAGGCCCAGCUCAAAGUGAAGAGUGACUUAAGUAUCCAGUUAGUACUAUGCUACUGCACUAGUCGCAUUAGACACAUACCAAUGGGAAUUCUAGACUCACUGAGAACGCAUUACUCCUCUGCUAGUUUCCCGCGUUACUCGUUCGCUGCUCUCAUUUAUCUCUGUUUGUGUUAUUUACUUUUGAUUCACACUCCACUCAAAAACAUUAUUUAUCUCCGCCCUCUCUUUGCUCUUUUUUGUGAAAGCCCUCACUUUGCUCUGAGUCUAUAAUUAUUUGCAGGCACAAUUCCAUAAGUCUCUACAAGGGACAAAUAUCCAAUUCAUGUGCGCCAUGUGGGAUUGAUACUCUUGCUUCUAAAAAGCUACAAUUAAACCCUGUGCAUUUACAGGACAUCAACUACGCAAAAAAACGAUGUGGCAACAAGCUAUGGAAAAAUAAACACUUGCAGUUGAACAAAACCCCCUUUAUGUUCGAAAAUCGUAUACUUUGCACCCUAGUUUACAGUCACUUAGCUUGAAGCCAAUCCAUCCCAAGGGUAAUAUCAUAGCAACCCAGCGGGAAAAGUUUGAAUGUGGGUCCAAAACAAGCCCAUGUAUCUUGCAAUUGUGGAUUGGCAACUCCAUGCCAUGUUGAAUAACAUCCUUAGUGGCUACCUUCACGUCCAAAGGAUUUUUCAUGGUUGCAGACCCUCCCAAGACUGAGACACUUCAGUGUUUAAAAAUUUGUGAAACCUCCCAGAGUCCACCAACAUGAGUAGAACAUUUUUGCCCACCCUGCCGAAUAAUUAGAACAUUUUGGGGCUUCAAUACCACUAACUCCUACAACACACAACAGACAUAGAUCGUCCUUGGAGCUCUCCCGGGCUCUGGUGGUUGCUCAGGUGAUGAUGGUGGCGAGAUCAUGCCCACCAAUUCUUCAUGCGGGAGGAGAUCAUGCCCACCAAUUCUUCAUGGUGAAGAUAACUGCAUGCCUUGUCGAGCUUUAUUAUCAGGAGGAGAUCCUCAUGCAGCAGCGGUCACGAGUUGACUGGCUCACCGACGGCGACAAAAACACGCGCUUCUUUCAGCUGCGUGCUUCCAGCCACCACUGGAAGAACCUCAUCAAGUCCUUGGUCAAGGAUGACGGACAAGUCACCGAGGACAACAAGGAGAUGGAAUGCACGGCCACUAAAUUCUAUAAGAAUAUUUACUAUUCUGAAGGAGUUGAGAACAUGCAACAUGUUUUGGAUACAAUCCCUAAAAAGAUCAGUAAUGACAUACAUGCCCAUUUGGAUGCCCCAAUAGCGCUGAGGAGGUAAAAACAGCUCUCUUCCAGGUGUUUCCUUCAAAAGCGCUGGGCCUCGAUGGUUUUCCAGGACAUUUCUUCUAGAGACAACGGGAUGUUUGUAGCCCUGAAGUAACAAAGGUUGUUCUGCAAAUUGUUGAAGGGAAAGAGAGCGCUGAAAGGAUCAAUCGGAUGGGUGGAAAGGCCCUAUGUUACCUGUUUUUGUUGGUAUCAGUCAUCUCAGAUGGGUGGAAUUCAAGUGCACCUAUGGCACCCCCUGUUAACCAGUUCUUAUUUGCAAAUGAUAGCAUGCUAUUCUUCAAAGCAAAUGUUGUAGGGGCGACUGAGCAAAAAAAUGCCUGACAAAUGUCAAAGAUGAGAGCAAAAUAUUCUUCAAGUGCCCAGUGAAACCUUGAACGGUAGGUACUUGGGUAUGCCCUCUGAUGUAGGCUCUUCUAAACAGAGGGCUUUCAAAUAUUUAAAGGAUAGGGUAUGGAACAAGGUUACAGGAUGGGUGACAAAACUUUUCUCUUCGGCUGGCAAAGAGGUUUUGAUCAAGUCAGUGGCUCAGGCGGUUCUAGUUUACUCUGGGUCGUGUUUCAAAUUACCGAGAGGCUUAUGUGAGCACCUGAAUAAACUCAUACGACAAUUCUGGUGAGGAAGCAAGGAAGGCCAAAGGAGGUCCUCAUGGGUUUCUUGGAAGGACAGGACCCAACCAACAUUUUUGGGUGGAUUGGGAUUUAGGGAUUUCGAGCUCUUCAUCCUAGCGCUGCUUGCUAAACUGGCGUGGCACAUUCUACAAUAUCCUGACACUCUUUGUCCCAUGAUGUUGAAAGUUAUUUAUUUCCAUGCUAGUAAUAUUUUGUCAGCCGAAGUUGGGAACCAUCCUUCGCAUAUAUGGCGAGCAAUAAUUGAAGGAAUAUAUGUGCUAAGCCAAGGCUUGAACCGAAGAGUUGGGGACGAUUCUUCCGUCGAUAUUUGGUUGGACAACUGGAUCCCUAGAGAUGAAAACAUGAGACCGAUUGUGUGCCUCGUGGCGGUCCGCCCCACCCUGGUUAGUGAGCUCAUAAAUCAUGUUGAGGCCUCGUGGAAUAGGGAGGUAUUAAAGGAAACUUUUCUCCCCGCCGAUGUGGAUGCAAUCUUGAGCAUACCGCUUUGUACAAGAAAUAAUGAGGAUUUUUUGGGCAUGGAAUUUCGAGAAGACUGGUUUGUUCACAGUGAGGUCGGCGUACCGCAUGCUCACCCACAAAGAGCACAUGCGGGAUGAGCGUGCGAGCCCUAACAAUUCUGGAGCCGAGAUCGGAUGGAAGCAACUCUGGCAGGUGGACAUUCCAGGAAAGAUACACAAUUUUUUGUGGAGACUGGCAAAGCAUUCUAUUCCAACUGAAGAUGUCCGGCAUCAUCGACAUAUGUCUCGAUCUGAGAGCUGUCAGUUGUGUGGAGCGACAGACUCGUGGCAUCAUUCCCUGCACGUCGUUGAGGUGUAUCUAGGUUUUGGUCGAUGGUGACCUAUCUGAGCACUUAAUUGCUACAAUGGACCCAAGCGCAAAACAUUGGCUAUUUGGGACGAUGGAUACUUUAUCACAUGACAAGUUUCUCACCCUCACGGUGACUCUCUGGGCUAUAUGGACAGCAAGGUGGAAGGCCAUCCAUGAGUCUAUUUUCCAAAGUCCUCUUGCCACACAUAUGUUCAUUCAAUUCUUCAUUGCUGAAUUGGAGAGCAUCAAGAAUGCCCCUAGAACGAUAAGACCUACUCCCGUUGCAAAUGUUCGGCUGCACCAGGUUUGGAUGCCUCUUCGAGCAGGAACAUUUAAGAUCAACGUGGACGGAGGGCUCUCCAGAGAUGGUUCCAUGGGUCCAUCCUCUAUUGUAUGUCGUGAUGACAAGGGCCUUCACUUAGGGUCCUCGACGAUGGUCUUUUCAAGCAUUAAUGACCCGUCCUAUCUUGAAACACUAGAAUGUCGAGAAGCGCAAGCACUUGCCCAAGACCCAAGGAAGAAUCAUCAUCUCAUGUGAUAGUAAGAGUGUUGCCAAUGAUAUAAAGCAUGGCCCACAAGGGAAGAAUGGCGUAAUAGUUUAAGAGAUCAAUGCGAAUCAACAAAUUUUUGAAGCAUGGGAUAUCAUCUUCUAAGGUAGGGACACAAACAAAGAAGCUCAUAGCUUGGUUAAAUUUUUGGUUUCUCUUAACUAGGGUCGCCACUUGUGGCUGCACUAUCCACAUGACCCUUUUCGUAUUCCUCUGAACUUCCCAAUUACUCCUUCCGUCCCAUAAUAUAACAACGUUUUUGACACUAGUGUAGUGUCAAAAACGCUCUUAUAUUAUGUGAGAGAGGGAGUAAUCAAUAAUGUGUCCUUCACCCCUCAAAAAAAGGUGAGCCUAAAAUAAUUCCAGCCAAAGCGCGACAGCGCCGAUGUAGUGCACCACCAUCGUGUCUAUCCACAUCCAAUGUUCCACCUCACACACCCUGAAGUAGGCCUCACAAGGAAUGUGCUAGCUGUGAGGUUGUCGCCGUCAAACUGUGGGCCAUCAACAUGUUUGUUGACACCUCGAUUUACCCCAUAUCCAUAUGAGUAGGCUACCUACUUCGAAUGGUAUAGAUGGUAUAGGAACAAUAGGGAACGGCGAACAAGACAUACCAUUGGCCGGGGCCGGUGUUGCUUGGAGAGGCACCUCAUUGGUUAGAACUUGUGCUUGAGGUGUCCCACGAUGAUUGGAUUGCCCAUGGCCAUCGCCACCCACUCCUGUGUUGAGGAACGAUGCGUCCGCCGUCGGCUGAUGGAUUGACUGCCUUGCCCGCUCCUAUAGUGCCGAGCGCAAUCUUCUCUAGUUGCACACAUAUCUCCCCGAGAUCUGCACACAGCUGUCCAACCGCCUCAUCUAUGCCAGGAUACCAAGCCGAGAGGUUGCUGACCACCAGCUCGAGCGAUGCCAGCGUUGGCUCCAUAUAACCGCUGACACAAUCUAGCCUAGAGAGUUUUGGGUGCCUAUCAGGGCCUUAAAGAUGCUCCUCCGCUCCAGCACCGCCACCUCCAUAUGUUUCUGCAGAUCAUGCUAAGCCAUGGUCUGCUUGAGACUAUGCGCCCAAACCCGCACUAGGAUCUCGCCGAAGGAAUUUUUUUGGGGAGAACAACCUAGGCUCUCAUUACUACUCCCUCUGUCCCAUAAUAUAAGAGCAUUUACACUAUACUAUUGUUAAAAAUACUCUUAUAUUAUGGGACGGAGUGAGUAGAUGAUACGAGUCACACUAGAUCCUGUCUAUUCACUACUGGAUACAAGGUUUUAUUCAGAUAUAGUAUAAAACCACAAGUAACAUGAAUGAGAUCUAUGUGGGAGGUGGGAGUGGGGGAAACACCCAACGACGGCUAGUUUCGUUCCCGUUUCUCGUUGCCCUUCGCAGAAACCACAUACCGACCGAAGUAUUGCCUUUGCUAUGUCUAGUCCUUUCCAUGGAAGCACGGGUUGGACCUGGGGUUGCGCUUGGGCUUCCUGGUUGGCUUGGGCCUUUAGCUUCACAACUGGAUGUAGUAGUUCAUGUGGCAAUGAGCCACCAAAUCCUCCAGUUCUUCCUUCGAGUCCACGUUCUCCUUGUCCUCAUUCCAUAGAUACAGAAAAACUUGUCGACAUCUCAUCCAAAAAAUUCUUCUUAUUUGCCCCUCGGGCUUCCUUCACCCACUGUUGCCUCCCUCAUGGGUGAUUUGCCACGGGAUGCAGCUGAUGGCUUUGGCAUGCCUGAAUUUUUGCUCAACAUCUUCCCCGAAAUCAAUUUAUGCGCAUCCUUCCAGCCCAGCGGGGCUAAGUCUUGUCAUGGACAAGCAUUUCACUCAGAUUGAGCGUGGGAACCGACCGGGAUUGAAGAUUUGCGAGGGGUUCCAGUUGUCGCCCAGGAGGGGAGAAACCCUAAUCUUUUAGGGGGAAAGAGUCUCGUUUGCAACUUGGUUGUUACUCCGACUAGAAACUUUUUUGCUAAUUGACCUUAGAGCAAGUAUAAUAGUGCCCUUAUAGCCUGCUUAUAUGGCAAGUUUGCUUAUGUGAAGGAGAGAGAUAUGAAAAAAUAAGGGAAGUGAGAUCUGAUGCAAAAGCUUAGCUAUAUACGUACUCCUAGGCAAAUAUAUUAAAUGUGGGACGUGUCUAGUGGGCGGCCGGCCGCCCUGGGAUCGCUAGCCAGCGGCCACCCGAAAAAAGGAAACCACCUGGUCCCCCCUCAAGCGAAAAAGAGGAAACAGUCCACCUGGUCCCUGCCCGUCGGAGCCAAAAAGGCAACUGCCCCGCCCACCAGCUGGCCGCGGGAUCACGUGCACCCUCCUCGCGAAACGUGCACCCUCCUGGCCGCGGGAUCAUGUGCACCAGCUGGCCGCGGGAUCUGCCCAGGUUGCAGAAUCCACGCCAUCUCUCGCCCCCACGCCUCAGCCCCACCGACGCUGCCUUCUUCUUCUUCUGCACGCCAGAAACAGAUCCAAACGCAAUCGCCCCCAGCCCUUCUUCCUCCUCCUACACAGCCGCCAUGGGAGCCCCAAAGUAGAAGGAGCUGCUUCAAGAUCUAAAGGGCAGGGUGGUCAGAGCCAUACCAGGCAGUAAGAUCGAGCAGGUAAGCCCCCUCUGCACCUCUUCGCUCCCCCCUUCUCCAUGGAUCCAUGGAGAAUCUGCUUCAAAAAAGAGGUGAAUCUGGCACAUCACACCAGAUGUUAAACAUGCUGGAUGUGUUAAACAUGCCAAAAACUACCACCUGGAUGUGUUAAAAACAAGCCAACUAAAAACGAGUUAUCUGGCCAAUUAAAACAUGAUUAAAGGCCAACUUCUAGUUAUUAUUUGCAAAAUGAACAGAAAAUUGACUGCCCAAUGCUUUGUUGAACAUGUGCAACGAAAAAUUCAUAAAUGUGCAACUAAACAUGCAUCCCAGCCAACUGAACAUGUAUCCUGGCCAACUAAACAUGUAUCCUGCCAACUAAAAACAUAUAUCUGGCAAUACAUGUUUCUGAGUGAACACUUUGGAAAAAAUGUAGUAUAUGUGAAAAUAAAAAACAUGUUUUCUGGCCAACUAAACAUGCAUGUUGGCCAAAAACUGAUGACCAACUAAGACAUCUAUUCUAGGCAACUAAGACAUCUAUUCUAGCCAACUGAAUGCAUUAACUGUCCAACUGAACAUGCAUGUUGGCCACAAAACUGAAAAAAUGCAACCUGGCCAGCUGAGACAUCUAUUCUAGCCAACUAAAAGCAUUGAAUGUCCAACUGAAUAUGUAUGCUGGCCAAGUGGAAAUCCUAGAAAUUGAGACGUCUAUUCUAGCGAAAACCAGAAAUCUGUAGUGCAACAGGAAAAACAUAGGAACUUUUGUCCAUGGCUAAUGAAGCCACAAACCAUAUUAACAUAUUCACACACAAAUCUUGUCCCACGCAUAUAUUCUGGUCCCACACCUAUUGCAAACCAUAUUAAUAUGUUCAAAUAUACCAGAUCUAGAAACAUAAACGGCGAUGAAAAACAUAUAACUAUAAUCUGUCCUCCAAUUCUUCUUUCUUCUUUCACCUGGAUUUUCCUUCUCAAAUGUAGCAUCCAAUUAUGUGCAGAAAAAUCUGAAAAGAGCUCCUUGCGAAACGGAAACCUACAGAUCAUUGCAACAAAACAAAAAGGGAAAAGGGUAAGAAAAACUCUGUAGCAAAAAGAAGUCAUGCUCUUGCCAGUUAUUUACUGCAAACUGUGCAACUAACAUAACAACUCUGUGCAAACAAAAAAAUUCAUAACUGUUAUAAUAAAAGAUUAUGCUAUGGUCAUGUUGCUUUUAGGUUGUUUUGAAACACAGUUUUUCUGUGGUUACCAACUGAUGGCAUCAAUUUCUUCUUUUUUUAUAUGUGCAGGGAGUGUGUGGCAGCAUCCAAAAACAAGGGAAAAAAUGCUUGAUCUCAAUGAGUUGCCUCUAGAUCUCAAUGAGCUUCCUCAUGAUAUGGAUCAGCAGCAACCCAGCAUACAACAAGGAAACUGCACAGAAAAUGGUCGAUCUGUUUACUACACGCAGGCAAGUCGUGAUGGUAACCCUACAGGCCAUGACAAUGUGGCAGGCCAGUCAUCAACCCGUGGUGCCCCUGUAGUGAUGUCUUUGCAGUCAGAGAGCCAUACUCUUGAUGACACAGGAACCGAGGCAAAUGUUCCUGGUCCAACCAGGAUUGAGCUAGAAGCUGGGGCUUUUGACAGAGUUGUGCAAGUAGAAGAAGGAGAGGAUGAGGCUGGUUCUCAACCUAUGGAACCCUAUGUUGGCAUGAGGUUUGACAGCCUUCAAAUUGCUAAGGAUCACUACAACAGUUACGCACUACGGAUGGGUUUCUCUAUCAAGAUGAACACCUCUAGACGGACACCCCGCACCAAUGAAUUGAUAAAACAACAGUUUUGCUGCAACAAGUUCAAGAAGCCCAAAGCUGAUGAUGGAGGAGCUGAGGCUCCUCCUUACCUGGACCCUAUUCCAGAUCCAACAUCUGUUAACAGUGAUGAGGAGAUGGAAUAAGAACCUCCAAUAUUUGCUGAAGAGGAUGCUGGUACUAGUAAGAAGAAGAAGAAGCGCAAACGUGAGACAAUAAAGCAGACUGAAUGCAAGGCGAAAAUGUUGGUGAAGCUGAUAGAUGGGCGAUGGGAGGUGACGCACUUUGUUCGUGACCACAAUCAUCCGCUCGUGAACAAACCUUCAUUGUCCAAAUACUUGAGAUCCCACCAAGGCAUCUCACCUGAUGAAAAGGAGUUUCUGCGCAUCUUGUAUAACUGCAACUUGACUACAGGUGUGGUGUUUUUCUAUAUCCCUUGAAGAAUUAAGUUUCCCUCUAGGCAGUCCAGUGUGCAACUGUUAUGGUACUACUGUGCAACUGAAAUGGCUUAACUAUGCAACUGCUGUCCAACUUCCCAUGCUUUUUAUAUAUCACUUUGGGUGCUUCUUGUGCAACUAGAUUGUCUUUACUGUGCAAAUACACAAUGUCCUGUAUGCAAAAACUGCAAAGUGUUUUUAAAAAGGUGCAGCUAGGUGUCCAUUUCCUGUGAUUAUCUUCUGUGCCAACACGUGUCCUAUUACUGUGCAGCUGGAUGUGCGCAUUUGUGCAACUAAAAAAAGGAUAUACUGUUUGUUUUUGUAUUAUGCAGGACGAAUGAUGCAUGUAAUGACAGAGUUCUAUGGAUCUGAGAUGAUGGUGCCGUUCGGACCAAAGGCAAUAACAAAUCUUUGUACAAGUUUCCGUAGAGAUGACACAAAGGAGGGUGAUCUGAUUGAGACAAUUGCGCACUUCAAGGAUAUACAAAAAACCGAUCCAGACUUCUUCUAUAAGGUGAAAUAUGAUGAAGAGGACAGAGUUGUCAACAUAUUUUGGGUGGACGGCUUAGCUCGAAAAGCUUAUGUGGAGGCGUACCACGAUUGCAUAUCGUUUGACACCACCUACAUGACCAACUUGUACAAUAUGCCGUUCGCGCCCUUCAUAGGAAUAAACCGACAUGGCCAAUCUUUCAUGCUGGGUUGCGCGUUUGUGAGGCAGGAGUUGGCAUCGAGCUUUGAUUGGGUCUUUGGAGCAUUCCUAGAGGCUAUGGAUGGCAAACCUCCUGACAACUUCAUCACCGAUCAGGAUGGUGCGAUGAGGCAGUCAAUACAGAGCAUCUUUCCAACCACCGUGCACCGUUGUUGUCGAUGGCACAUCAUGAAAAAGGCUCAGGAAAAGGUUGGUUGGUUGCUGUGCCGGAAUCCAGGACUCUCUGAUGAUUUCAACAAGUGUGUUGACUUCAACUUCACUAUAGACGAGUUUGAGCAGAAUUGGGCUGGGUUAAUGAUCAAGUAUGAGGCUAUGGCACACACGCACUUUGAGAAGUUGUACGAAUACAGGUCAACUUGGGUGCCGUGCUACUUCAAACACAGGUUCUUUCCCUUCCUCCAGUCUACACAGCGUAGUGAGGGGUUCAACGCCGUCCUCAAAAGAUAUGUGAACCCACACAACUCAAUGUUGAACUUCGUCAAGCAAUAUGAAAAAAUACAGAACCACAUCCUUGCCAAGGAAGGCUGCAAUGAUUACAGGACACAACACCUUGAGAUUGAGUUGUGGUCCAACUUCCCAAUAGAGAAGCAAGCUUACAAAACCUAUACUAGAGACCUUUACCGCAAGUUUAGAGAAGAGUUUGAGCUGAUUGGACGUUAUAAUGCAUUCCAAGUUGGUGCUGAUGUGUUUGAGCUCAGACCGAACCAGGAAUUUGUUGCGAAAUAUGGUUCUCGAAACUACUUGGUGCAGGCAAGGGUGGAGGAGCGUUCCUAUUUGUGUGAGUGUUGUAAAAUGGACAAGGACGACAUCCUCUGUUGCCACAUCCUCAAGGUGUUCACCCAUGUUGGCGUUGAUGUCAUACCGGAAAGGUACCUGCUAAGACGGUGGACACCUACUGCUGUACCUAGUGCGCCAGGGACUGGUUAUGAGAAACCGGAUGAAAUGCCUCCUCAAUCAAAGAAGCAGAUAAGGGAGAGGAACAUGAUAUACGAUUUUCGGAAACUAGCAAAGUUUGCGAGUGGUUCUGAUCCAGCACAAGCUAUUGUAUACAAGCAUAUGCGUGCAGCACGUACCGAGAUCGGCCACCUGAACAAGUCCAAGAAAAUGAAAAAACCGACUGCUGCAACGGGGCCAUCAGAUGAUGGCAACCCUCGAGGACCUCCUCCACCUCCAGGCAGCAAUCAGGGGGCUCAUCAUCCAGGUAAUUACCUGCCCCAACUCCUGAUCUAACUAGGUGUGUAACUUCAGUUGCACACAUCAUUGUGCCCAGUUGCACACACCAUGGUAGCCACUUGGACAAGAACAUACUGCCUAGUUGCACACGCUGUGUUAGUUCACGCAUCAAAGAUAACACAGCUAACUUAUUUUUUCCAGUUAUGCAUAUGUGUGAUGUCAACACUCAAGGACCUCCUCCCCCUCCUGGCUGUACACGGCAUCCUCCGCCACCUCCUCCCCCGCAUGCUCCUCCCAAUGGCCCUACAGGCAGCACUCAGGGGCCUCGCCGUCUAGGUAAUUACCUUCCCCCAACUCCCCAUCAAACUAGGUCUGUAACACCAAUUGCACACAUCAUGGUGCUCAGUUGCACCGAACAGGCUACCUAGUUGCGCAUGCUGUGUUAGUUCGAGCAUAAAAAAGAUAAACACAACUGACUUGUUUGUCCUGUUCUGCCUAUAGGUGAUGCCAACCCUCAAAGACCUCCUCCCCCGCCAGGCCCAACUAGCAGUGCCCUUUGUGCUACUCCCAAUGGACCUACAGGCAGGACUCAGGGGUCUCAUAACCCAGGUUAGUACCUUCACCGACUCCAAAACAAAAACUAGGGUGAGUGACUUUAGUUGCACAUAUCAUAGUGCCCAGUUGAACAGAAACAUGCUGCCUAGUUGCGUGCGCUGUGUUAGUUUGAGGAUCAAGCUAAAAAUCUAACUUGUUUUUCAUGUUCUGCCCAUAGGCGACUACAAUCCAAGUACCAUGACAGGCCGUGCUACUGCAGGUGUUUUUUUCAACUUAACUUGCACACAACAACCAGUUAGUUGCACAAAAAUGUACUGUGUGGUUGCACAGAACAUCAGUGCUGGUUGCACAAUAACAAAAAUACUAAACUUUUUAUAUGAUUAUUACACAGGUGAUCGUGACGGUCCAACUGCCCCAUUGGAGGCUGCAUCCCAUGCACAAGCUUCUGAUGAUUUUGUGCCCAGGGAUCCUCCAAGGUCUACUACAAAGGGUAGGGCAAAGAGUCGACGGUACAAAUCGGCGCUGGAGCUACACCCAAAGAAGAAAAACAAAUGCAGCCAGUGCCAAUCUACAGAGCACAUUGCUGGUGUGUGUCCACAGAGGCUCCUAUGAUUCUGUUUCCUCAUUUGUAACUUUGGAACAAAAAAGGAAAAAUAAUGAUGUCUUUUUUAGCAAUGUUGGGACCAAGUGGACACAUUCAACAUCUAUGAUUCCUCUUUAUCUAAUUUAUGCUGCUUGAAUUAGUUCAUGCACUGUGUAAAAAAAAGUUGCUAUUUGUGCCUUUGUUGGCAACUGGUUAAAUAUUUAGUUGUUGAACAAUUGUAUAUCCAGUGCUCCUAAUGUAUCAACAAAAGUGAUGAUAUUGAGUUGCAAACGCAAUUACUAGCAGUGUGCAACUACAAAAUCUACUUAAUAAAAUUGUACAAACCAGAAACUUCCUCCAUGGAGCAGAAAAAAAAUAGUACUGACCAACUCCUUGUCGUAUCUCAGCAACUUCCUCCAUGGGGCGGUGUUGUGCACGCCGGUGACCCAAUCAUACGUCAUCUUCUUCCUGAUGUUGAGUACUUCCUUGGGGUCGUAGUUGGGCAGUUGGCUACCAUUCCACUCGGUGGCGUUAAGCAGUGCGAAUAACCCACACUCAUUACUGCAAAAAAUGAGCAAAAAAAAUUGUCACAUAAAAUUAAAACCAAAAAAAGGUAAUGCACUCUGUGCAACUACUUAUGUCCUACUGUGCAACUGCUUGUGUUCUACUGCAACUCAUUAUGUGCCACUUUGCAACUACUUAUGCGCCACUCUGCAACUAGCUAGAUAAUCCAUUAGAAACUCAUAAAAAUGAUAAUACAGAUUGAAGACUAGUACUGUGUCUUAAAAAUACUAAAGAUUGCACAUGUAGAAAAAUUUAAAAACUACAAAAUGAUUGUAUUUGAUUGAGAAGGAAUGAAAUGCUUAUUGUCUUACUUGCCAAGCUGCUUCGGUACGUCAAUGUCAAUAAUCUGGAAGUGCUCGAUGCUGAACUUUGGGUAAUGCUUCCUCCAUAGCUGGCGUACUGCCCCCGCAAUGGUAGAGGCGUUGUUCAUCAGCUCAAUGUUGUCCAGCGUCCUGCUUGAAUCAAGAACUUCGAAGCGUCCGUCCCUCAAGUUGACACUGAAGACCCAAUAAUGCCUCCCUCCGUCCUUAUCGGUUACAUCUGCGCACUCGAGCACUGGCAGCAUGACCUGCAAGUGUGAACGAUUUCAGACACAAAUACAAGAUGUAGCUAAGAAAAACAGUAAAAAGACUUUGUCAAGUUAAAAACGGGUUGCAACAAGUAUCUGCCAACUAACAGAUGUGUCAUGUGCAACUGGACAUGCUGUGGGUGCCAACUAAAAAAAGAUUGAUGAUGUGGGCACAACACUCACCAAGUCUUUCUUGUCGAGACGGUUCUUGUAAUCAAACUUCUUGUUCAUCUCAUCCACAUUGUGGAUCCCUUGCUGUAAUUUUAUCUGCAGAGAUUAUAAAACAUGGCUCAAAACUCCUUAGUAGGUGAAAGGCCUCCCUCAAAUGGUCAACGAAAAGUGCUACAGAACAAAGAUGAGGGUAAAAAGAAGGUUUUGGAAAAACUUACAGAAAACCUCAGUGGCAUAACAACCUUCUUUGACCCUUCUGGUAAGUUAUCCGUGAUGUGUAAGAUUCCGGUCUCAAUAACAAUUUUUGACAACCAUUGAACCGGCUUCAUCGAAUCAACGAACUCCUUUAAAGAAAUGUAGAAAGCACCAUACCUGAUUAUCUCAGGGCUGAUUUUUUUUUGAAAGCAAUAAAAAGACAAGUUAGCUCGAAGGAUCACAGCAGCAAAAAAAUGUGCAUGAAAAUGAAAAAAGAACAGUGUGCAACUAAAAGCCCUGUUCUGUGCAACAUACUAUGCUUUCUGUGCAACUAAGUGGCUGGUGCUAUGCAACUGAAAAAGAUAUGUAUGAAGGCUGUGGGGAGUUAGUUUACCUGGUAGCUCCAUCAUUUGCUCCUUUGUGAUGCCUGACCCAAUACAAGAGGGCAGCGUAAAGCUUGUUCACUACCUCAUUGGUGCUGAAAGUCUUGUUCUUGUUGUAGUCGAUGAAUGGAGACCUUUGAGAUGCUGCAGGCCUUCUUACCCUCCUCUGUCUUCGUGCAAGAGGUGGCCCCGAAGAACUGCUCGUGCCAAGUUCUGGUUCUGCGCAUAUCAGGGUGUGGCAAUUCUCUGGUGAACCAACAUCUAGUUCUUGAGAUAUUGCCUUGCCAACAUCAGCAGCAUCACAUCCUUUAUUCACAGCUGCUGGGUCUAACUCACACUCAUCGAUGCUAAUCACACUGGCUUCUGCUGUAUCUACUGCUGGAGCAGGUGCUGGAGCAUCACCAUCUAUGCCGAGGUCAAAAGAUGGUGCAUCACAGAACCCGUCACCAUGAUAAGAGUUUGAUCUUCGUAAGGGUUCAAGGACCAGGGCAUCUCCUUGCGGCACAAACAUGGGUGCAUCAUUCACUGACUUGGUUCGCAAUAGUGUUGUAGUUGGUGGCCUUGGAGGCUUGCACCUACUUAUAAUGUCGAACACCUCCUCUUGUGUUAAUGGUUGCUGAAAGACAACUCUUGGGGACGGCACUUUGAUAGUUGGAUCACCUCCUUUUGUGUUUGGCAUUGAAGCAUCUCUAUCAGUAGGCAUCUUGGGACUUGCAGUUGCAGUGGUGCCUUCCUGACCAGCUGUGGUGGUUUUGACUGUGACCAUACUGCUAACUGACACAUCAGUUGGCACACUGGUAUCUGUAGUUGGCAUCUUUCCAGUCUGAGUUGGCAGCAACCUGGCAGAACUUGGCACCCCUGCAUCAAUGGCUGCGGCUCGCAGCUCUCUCUCGUCUCUGAACCCCAAAUCUUUUGUGGCCUGCUCCCCCUUUGCGCCCCUGGCAAACUUGACAAUCUUUUGCUUAGGUGGUUUUGGUGGGACUGUUGAAAGGGGAGUCUUCCCCUUGAUCUGUUGAACUUCUCUGACAUUGGUUGGCUCUCUGCUCACUACUGUUGGCAUAUCAGUUUGAAGCACAACUUCCUUGACCAUAUUUACUUCAGCAUCUUCACUCACCAUCUUCUCCUUGGUUUGAGGCAACUGCAGAUUCUUCUUCAUUGAAACUGCUUUACACUUCUGGACCACGUGAGGGUUUGCCGUGGAUGCUGCCUUGCUCUUGCUGGAGCUUAGGUCUGGGAGCUGCUUUAAAUAUUCCUUGUAUUUUUGCUUUGAAUGAACCCAGUCAAGACCCUUCCCUGCUUCCUCCAUGUCAAUUUGAUUCUUUUCAGCAUCAGUUGAUAAGAACAGGCUCUUGUCAAUGGCAAAGUUGAUCUUCUCACACAUAUCUUUGUCGCUGAAAUCUGGCACGGGAAAGGUGGUUGGCAAAGCUGGCUUCAAGUUGCAGAGCUUGAACAUAUCAAUGCUUCCCUGAGACUCUGCUUCGUCAUUUUUCUUUGACUUUGGCAAAUCCUUGUCUUUCCAGCAAGUCUUGUCAAUCAACAACUGUAGUGUGCUCCUGCUACUCAAUGAAUUGCUGCUGCUCGCAGGGGUGGCGUGAGUGCUAGUCCUCCUGGAUGUGUUGCCACCUGUACCACCAGAACCAGGAGCGUUGUCAUCAUCAUCGUCAUAGCUGUUGUCGCUGCCUCCAUUGGAUCCCCCUUUAUCAUCACCAUAAUCAUCCUCGUCUUCUUCAUCCUCGUCUUCUUCCCUCUCACUGCCAUCAGCUGCUGCGCCUUUGUCUUCUCCCCUCUCACUGCCAUCAACUGCUGCCCCUUUGUCCCCGUCCCCCUCUCUGGCCUCACCUUCUUCUUCCUCCUCCUCUGCAUCACUAUCUUCUUCCUUGUUCUCCUCCUCUCCUUUGUCCUCUUCUUGUUUGUCCUCCUCCUCCUCCUCCUCCUCCUCUUCCUCCUCAUCCUCCUCCUCCUCUGCAUCUUCUUCAUUGUCAUCCUCAUCCUUGUCCUCCUCCUCUGAUUCAUCCGCAUCUGUCUCCUCAUCGUCGUCAGCAUCUAUCGCUGCUCCCAUUUCCUCAUCUUCUUCUGAAUCAUCCUCAACAAAUUCUUCUUCUUCUUGUAUAGUUGACCGCCGUCUCUUUCUUUUUGGAGCACGGCGUGAUGCCCCAGUUUGCAUUGAUGGCUGCUGUACGUAAGGAUCAAUAUCUGGUUCCUCGUCAUCAAUCUUGGCAACUUCUUUAAUGAAGGUGCCAACCUGUUCAGUUACAGCCUUGCAUAGCUCAUUGACCACUUUCGCAAUUAUUGCCUUUUUCUGCAUCAACACAAAAAAGACUCAGUACUGAUUCAGUUAGAAAAAAUAAUAAAAAGUAACAAUGUCUGUAACUGACCAUGAUGUGAUAAGCAAAAAUGACUAAUACACACUUUCUGGCCAACUAAAAACAUGAUUCUAGCCAACUACACAUGCACUGUGGCACAAAGUAAAAACCAUGCAUUUCUGCCAAAAGUUGAUGACAAUGGUUGUAAAUGAACACUUUGACUAUCCAAAAGAACAUGUGCAACUACAAAACCUUAUAUGUGCAACUGAACAUACAUCACAGCCAACUAAAUUCUGAAUUUUCGCAACUACAAAAGUUAUACAUGUCCAACUGAACAUACAUCCCAGCCAAUAGAAAAAAUAUUGAUAAGUGAUACAAGUUUAUGUAUGCAAAACACUAACCUGCGGAUUGUAUGUCAUUGGUAACUUGGAUGCCACAAAUGCUUCAGCUUGCAAAAUUCCACCAAACAGUGGUGUCUGCUCCGUGCCUCUAUACUCCUCUUUAAGCUGAUGUAAAAAAAAGAGAAACAGAAAAUAACAAGGUUAUCAAAAUAGAUUUGUGUGUUGAAUGAAACCACACAUUACAACCUGUGCAACUACAAACAAGAUACUGGGGUAGACAAAUUCAACUAUACAUAUAUGCAACUGAACAAAGACACAAAAACUGUGCAACACACAUGGCACCUAAAAAAAAGUUCCUACCAACUGAUGCAACACAUCUGUGCAACAAGAUUAGUAAAACUGUGCAACUUAAAAAAGAUGGUGUGCCAAUUUAAAAUAAACAUGUGUGCAGAUUGCCAAACUUAAAGCUAUAAUCUGUGCAACUACAUGCAUUGUUGUGCCAACUGAUGACAGUUUUCUGUGCAAUUCCCAAAAAGAGUGACCAGACAUCAAAAGAACAUAGAAGGAAGACACUGUUGGAAAAAAACAAAAAAGAACUCACUUGUAAUUUGCCGAACACACCAGGAGAGAUAGUAUCCUUCUUGAUCACCUUGGCAAUUAGAGUACUAUCCCAUGCAUUCGAUCGUAUCGCGCAGUUGCUUACUGGGAUGUCAUGUACGAGCACAUCAAGGUAUAGUAUCUGCACCAGACCCAAACAAAAGAAAAAGCCAAGUUCAGUUAUUGUUAUGAGAAUUUCAGCAAACUAUAACUGCACAGAAAGAACAGGAACAGAUGAAAAAAAGUGGUCGUUUUCACUAACCAUCAAGUGAUACAAGCAGCAGCAAACAGUUUGCUUCUCCUGGUCCAUGUUUCGGAAAGCUUCGUUAAUGUGUUCUGCUACAAAGAGGCAGAUGUUUGUAUUCUUUAGCAUUUGAUGAUCUAGCACAAGUCCAUAACACUUUGGGCUGAGCUUCAAGGCCGUGGUUGGUGCUAGAAAAGUACUGAAGGCAACCGCAAGCCAGGCCAUAAAAAAUGGGUCAUCCGUUCUUCUAGCCAUAUGCUCAAUCAUCUUGAGCCAUGUAGUGAUCUGGGGAUGAGAAUUUCCAGUUAUGUUGAAAGCCUGUCUGAAUCUCCUAGUGGCAUCCUUGUCAACUAAAUAUCUGACUUUUGGACCCUUGUUUGGGAGAUCAAAUACCCUCUGAACACUGUCAGCAUCAACACGGAUCCUUCCCCUUCCUGGGAAAACCAUUUCAGAGGUCUGUGGCUGGUAGGACUGCACCAGGAACUUAGUGAGGUCCGCUAGAAGUGUGUCUGAUAAGUUCAAUAGCCCCCCGACCGACCUCGAAACUAGCUCUGAUUUCUGUAGUGGAGUUAGAGAGGCGUUGAAAUUUGCAAAGCGCGCUGGUGAUGCCCUUAUCCUACCUGCUUGUGAUGGUCGCUCCACAUCUUCCCCUGGAGCCACCUCAACUCCUUCGCCGCUGCCCUGUUGAUUAGAAAAUGAAAGCAUUACACAAACAUUAAACACAAGAGAAAAAACAAGAAUGAAAAAAAACUAGCAAUCAUCAUGAUGUAUUUGUGCAACUAAUAAAGCUCAUGAGGACAACUGCAAAAAGACUGCCAGUGUGCAACUGAAUGUGCAACAAUAAAACAGUAAAUAAAAAAAGAACGAGACCUGGCAGCUACAAAAAGUUCUAGUGUAUGUGCAACAAUAAGAAAUGAUAUUGCAACACAAGAAAAACAGUAACUAAAAAAAAGGUUUGCAAAGAACUAUUCAAAUAGCUCAUAAAAACACAAAAAACCCACAUACCUCAGCAUCUGCUGCGGAAGAUGCGAUAGCUUCUCCAGCAACUGCUGCCUGCACAAAAAAAUGACCACUGAUGUCAACUAUGAAAACAUGCCAACUAGUGAACUACAAGAUGCCAACUAAUGCCAACUAAUGUCAACUGUAUUUAAAUCAAAAUGACUAGAGAUGUCAACUACAAAAGGUUGUUAUUGACAGACUAUAAACAAAAAAUAGUGUUCCGAACUGCUGCAUAAUUUCAUCACUAUCUAAAAAAAGGCGAGAAAAAACACUUAUAUUUGAGAUUUUACUUACCCUAGAAGAUGACUCAGCUCCCUUGCCAAGUGCUGCACGUCUAGUCCGCUUUACAACACGGAACUGAUCAACAUCCUAAGAAAAAAACAUGAGCAUGGGAAAAAAUAAAAAAAUGUUAUAUGACCCAAACAAAACCAAAAAGUGGACUUGUGUCAUCAACAUGCCACUUACCUCAACAUCCUCUCCCUGCUCAACACUCUGCGCAAGUCGUGGCUGGCGAUUAGCAGGACGCUUCGAGUUCCGGCGAAGAGGUUGACUUCCAGAACGCUGAUUAAGCAACCAAAAGAAAACAUGAAAAAAGACAUUAGCAUACAUGCAUAAGUUGAAAAACAACUCAAAAACAAAAGAAAAAAAAGUGAAUAAAAAUACAUCUCCUUCAUUGCCACCCGCAUCUCCUCCUAUUAUAACCAUUUUUGCCCUGCGGAAGGAAAUACAACAAAAAAACAUAGUUAGAAGAUGUGGACAACCAACUACUAUAAUCAUGCAGCCAACUGGGCAGUAAACCUUGUGCAAACUGGACAUCAAAUAAGCCAACUAACUUUUUUCUGCCUAAUUGUUACUUGCCAACUGUGACAAGUAAUACCUAGACAGAAAAAAGUUAAGUAAAGGCAACAAGCUCAGUGAGAUAACUUAUUCUGAAAAAAGCGUCCCUAGUUGAACAUGAAGGGAGACACAUGAAAACAACCACAUCCACAACAAAAGACUUGCACAUUGAGAAAAAUUAAAAUGGAAAAUUGGCAAGCAUUGGUACUAAAUUUGCACAAAUCAAGGGGUCCUAGUUGCACAAAAGCAGGAGAAUAACACAUAAACCACCAUAGCCACCACAACGCUGGUGGAUUGGGUAGAUUAUAUUGGAAAAUUGGCAAGCAUUGGUGCUAAAAAUGUACAAACAAGAGUCCCUAGUUGCACACAGCAGAGGGGGGAACAGCCAACUAGUAAAAGUGUAUAACAUAUGCAACUAAGUAAAACCAACUAAGUAGAGCAACUGGCACAACUGUAUAACAUAUGAAUAGCCAACUUAGUAAAAGUGAUGCAGCCAACCGAGCAGGCAACUUGUGCAACUGAACACAAUAUAGACAACCACCUAGUACAAAAACAGUGAGCCAACUGACCAAAACAACUGCUGCAACUGCAGAGCAUAUGGACAGCCAAAGUACUAUAUGGACGCAGCCAACUGAGGAGAAUUUUUUGCAACUAACCACUUAAAUCUCUGAACACCAACUACGAAAUCAGCCAAUGCAUUGCACACAAAAACAGUGAGCCAACUGACCAAAACAACUGCUGCAACUACAGAGCAUAUGGACAGCCAAGUACUAUAUGGACGUAGCCAACUGAGGAGAAUUUUGUGCAACUAACCACUUAAAUCUCUGAACACCAACUACGAAAUCAGCCAAUGCAUUGCACACAACAUUGCGCACAUCUAAUACAACUUACAGAAUAACUAAAGAAUCAUGUGCAGGUGUAGAACAUAUGGACAGCCAACUAGUAAAAGUGAUGUAGCCAACUGAGCAGGCAACUUGUGCAACUGAACAGUAUGUAGAAACCCAACUAGCAAAAAAUUGGUGCAACUGCAGAACAUAGGGACAGCCAACUACUAUAUGAAUGAAGCCAACUGGAUAGAAUUUUGUGCAACUGGAACACAAGUGUCUACCAACUAAAAAGUGGCCGUGAUACAAGUUUCACCCUCUUAGUUGGUUAGCACAGGUAAUGGUCCCUAAUUUGCACAGGUACUAAUUUGCACAUGACCCACGAGAACCACCAGAAGGCUGGCAGAUUGGCUAUAUUAUCUCAAAAAUUGUCUACUGCUGCUCCUAAUUUGCACGCAAGGGGCGACAGAGUUGCACACCGCGGGGGAAAACACUCAUCAAAAACACCAGAUCCACCGCGAGGCUUCAAUCCACAGAAGAGGCACUAUCGCCGUGAACCACUCAUCCUCCCUGAACCAUAUGCACGAGCUCACCCCCUACUACAACUCAAAAACGACAGGAUGAGCACAACCCUAACCCAUCCCUGCCAAUCCGGCGGUUUCCCAAACGAAGUAGUCCGCUGGGGUGACCUCAACCUCGCCGGAAAAUGAGUUUGACCUCCCUAACCCCGACCGCGACCUCGACCUCUACCUCGACCUCCCUGACAACGACCGCGACCUCACCGGAAAACGAGCGACCUCAUCGGAAAAAGGAGGACGGGCGAGUGGAGAAACAAGCAGGGACGAAGACGAGGAGCGCGCGUAGGAGCAGUACCAGAGCCGCCGCGGACGACGACCCUCGCGGCGCGCCCCGCCGUCGACCACAACCCAGCGGAUUUGGAACCGCCUCCGAGCACCAACCAACGGCGAAAGUAAAGGGGGAAAGUGGAGGAAUGGGCGGCGAGAGGUGGGGGUGGACGGGGUAAUGGCACGAAAUUCGAAACCGCCGCCCACUACGCACGACGGCUAAAAUGCUGGAGAACUGCCUAAUCCUCGAUGACAUGUGGGUCCCACGGACGAUUUAUCUCGCGGGCGCGGCGCAAAUCGGACCAACCGUUUGGUCCACACGCGGGUCUGAGCGGCGCGGCCCCACCUCCCGACCAGGGGACACCUAGACACCGCGCGGCGCCGAUCGGGACGAGAUCGAGCGGCUCUCGUUCGGCCGCUCGUUCUGUCUAUUUAGUGGCCGGCCGCUUUUUAGAUUCCAGGUUAAAUGUGAACAAAGAGAAACAAAGAAGGUAGAAACAAGUAGUAAUGUAAUAAGGGCAUCACCAACGCUGACCCACAUAUUUGCUCCUGCAUCCGUCUGAGGACAGAGGGGCUAGUCCGUAGACACGGAUGCGGGAGCCAGUCAUCCAACGCUACCCGCAUACAUUUCAUAGCAGAUUCAAACAAAACGGACGGAAUUCAUACAAACACGGCGGAUUUCAAUCAAACCGGACGAGUCCAUUUACAUUUCAAACAUAUUUUAACUAAAAAAGUUAGAACUAGUAUACGAUAGGCCACAUGGAUCUCCAUUCCCAUGACACGGAUACACUAAACUAGUCAACGACCAUCCCUGGUGGAUCCCUUUGUCUUUCCCAUGUCCGGUAGCUCGCUCAUCGGACUACCGAGAUCCCAGAGGUAUAUGCUUCAUUGCAACGGAUGGCUUCACAUCCCCAUGUCAGAGUGGCACUUGGUAGAUAUGCUCCAGCCGGAGGGGAAGGGGGGCAUCCGCUUCCGUGAAGCACACAUCAAGAUUGGUUUUUGGGGCGGGGACGAUGGUGGCCUGCAAAGAGGGGAAAUCAUCAGCUGUGCAUGCCAGCGACGCGCCGACGGUGGCCUUCCUAGGACCCAAGCGACGACGGCCUCCCAUGUUCCACUUUUCCACGAUGUUAGCGGCGGCCGCGGACGUGUUGACCGCCACCUCAUCGAUCUCCACAAUGUUGGCAGGGCAUGGUUUCGUGAACGUUGACGGCAGAUGGCGCGUGUCUGGCCUCAUCCACGACAGCCAUAGUGCUCGUUCCACUGUUCCCACCAAGUGCUGUCCUGGAGUGGGCACUUGCUCCCUCGAGUUCGGCGAGGGAGGUGGAGCAGCGUGUUGCCUGGCUCAUAUCCGGCGAGCUCGGCGGGCCACCCGACCGACUUUUAUAUCAUCGGAGAAUUGCUCUUCUUGCUCGCGAGAUGCCAUGAAGAGUGUGGAGAAAAUGGUGUGAGUAGCAAAUGGGCAACGGAGUUGUGGUGCAGUUCUUGGCACGACGUCUGGCCUCGCUUAAAUGGUCGGUAGAUGGGAGGAGCUUGCCCGGCAUCGUGUUUAAUGCCAGUCGGCUCGCGAAUGGACGUGUGGCCUGAGUAGGUUUCUCGGCACACGGGUUUAAUGGAGGUUUUUGAAUGCGGCGAGGAGGCAUGUUCAGCCGAGCGAGCAGUGAGCGACACCAUCGACCGGCGCGCCGCUUCGGAGCUAGUGAUAAGUCGCGUCCGCUUAGGCCGGCUUCAGUGUGAAGUGGCCGUUCUACAGCGGCAUGAACGUAGGCAGCUGGCGCCGGACAAGAACACACGUGCGAGGGGGAGGGUUUCGGGUGGGCCAGGGCAGUCAGAAGCGGACGUGGUAGCGUCCCGGACACCCGCAAACCCCCUAGUUUGUCUCUUUUUUUUUGCGGAAGAAAGUGCGUCAGGACUGUCGAGCGGACCGAUAGAAGACCUCAUUCAAUGGAAAAACAAGUCUAGAACGCACGGUCCGAAUGGUUCCGGGUGGGUCGAGGGUUGGCGUUGGAGAUGUUCUAACCAACAUCAUAUACCCCGUACUACUAUAUGUGUGACUAUAGAUGACAUGGCAGUUUCAUAUAGCCAUUAGCUGGUUAUACUAUUAGCAAUUCUCUUAUGAAUUUCAUUCAAUAUCAUCAAAAUACAGAUGUGUCACAUCAUUCAAAAAGCCGGGCUAAUUUAUUGGAGAUGCCAUUGUGCCCAUUUGCCUUACAAAAUCUAGAAUGCAUGAAAGUCGAGUGUGCUGACGACAUAAUAUUUCGCUAGAAAACUAAAGAGAAAAAAUAUGCUCAGUAUUACUAAUGGUUUUGGAAUUUUUGACCAACCUAGCAGACCAUUCAAUGGUCAAUACCUAAACAUAGUGCAAGCUUUGAGUUAUGUCCACGCAAUCCCAAGUGCCUUUGACCGCAUGUGGUACUCGCCUCGUCAUCAACUAGCGGUGCCGCCGCCGGUCAACUGGUUGAGCCAUCGAAGGAGAAGGUUGACAUGCAGAGGAGGAUAUGCUGGUUCACCUUUUGGGCGUAGGAUCACAACCUCUCCCCUCAAGAACCCGUCUCUUGCAGAAGAAUCACAUGUCUGUGUGAGGCAUCUACUUCAUCUUCACGCUGGAGUCCGAGUCUAUGGAUGCGUUUGGUACGCUGCAUAUACCUCAGCCAGACUCAUGCGGGAAGAAAAUGACCCAUUUGGUUACCCGCAUUCACGGUUGAGUCUGCAUACCAUGAACAUUAAAGCACCUCUGGGCCUGCAUCUAGAGGAAUGCUCAAAUCAGUCAUUUUUGUGGAGUCAGGCCUGCGCGAUGCAACCCUAGGCACGUGGGCAUGGGCGGUUACACGCGUGGGUGCGGUCCUGAGAAGUCGCGCUAUUUCCAGACGCGUCGUCAUAAAUUACCCUCACCUCCGUUCCUCACCACUCUCUCCCCUCUUCCCCACUCACACCGGCGGCGGCGAUCGCCUGAGCUCUAGUGCAAAUCGAUCCAAGGUAGCGGCGACAACCACCGAAGCGACUGCAGGACCUCCACCAGAGCGCAUUGGCCAUGGCGGUAAGUCCUCAUCCUCUUUAUACAUUCACUGCUUUCGACUCGGCCUAGAUUAGAUUAAAGCACGUGAUUGAAGAGUUAGGGAGGGGAUUGAAUACAUCGGGGGUGGAGGAUUACCAUCAAUCGAUUCUGCAUCGACGACUACUAGGGUUCAUAGGUUAUUUUUCGAUUACAUCAGGGGUGGAGAUUGGGGGUACAAACUUUCUUGUAUAGCCGCGACGACCCUAGAGUCGCGACGAGUGGCGGUGGGGGGAGGAGGGGGCGUAGCCAUCUUCUUUUCUUCCUAUCGUCUUGAACAAUGGGUCUUGCACGGGCGCCUACCGCCGGCUCCCUGGCCACAAUCCGCACCUCGUCGUUUUCGGCCUUCGGCGACCCGAACAUGCUACUCCAGUACGCCGUGGCACGCUGGUCUUGAGGCGCCUUGUACUGACUGUACUUGGCCCAUCUUGCCCGCAGUCCAGCGUUGCCGGAGUCUGCCUAAUUCAUGGCCUAGUGCAGGAUGUCCACUGACAUCGCGCCCUUGGGUGGGUCCGGAAUCAGUGUCUUCAGCUUGUCCGGCGUAGCCUUCUUCAUUGAAGCAUCGACCUCCUUGUGCAUGUCAUUGAUGCUGCUGAAGUUCGAGCACACUUCCAUGGUAUGCUCGAACUUUUCUUGCGGUCACCGAGCGAGCACCCAAGGAAUAAGACCCUCCAUCCAAUGCCCCAGGGGAAAGGGUUGGGGUUGGACUUGGAGUUCAUGGCGAGGGAGAGGUCGUGAAACAGAGAGGUGGAAGAGGAGAGGUGGUGAAAUAGAGGGGGUUCAAAUGCGGUGCUGGGUUAGUAGGAUGGGUUAAUAUAGGAGCGUUAGGCCGAUAUGAAUGAAUGCUGACCAUUGAACUGCAUGCUAUUCAUAAUGCUGAUGGACAAGGGCAAGGAGGUCGUGCCACCAUUGGAGAAGGGCAAGGAGGUUGUGCCACCAUUGGUCGAAGUGCCGGUGCAAGCAGACUAUGGCAUAGCCUAGUGGUGGGAAGGGGCUGAUGCCUUUCUACCCACCCAGGUUCAAGGCAUGGUACUUGCAAUUUGAGUUUGUUGCAUCAAUUAUACUGCAGGGGUUCCCUUACAGUCUUUCUGUCAAAAAAGUGCCGGUGCAAGAUCACCCAAGCGCCAAGCGGAGGAACUAUGGGAGUCAGGACCAAAGCACUUCUGUAAGGUUAUCCUUGCUCCAAAGCUGGAGAGUCUGCCAUUGCCUCUGAACCUAACACAACACUUCCCCGCCAUCCCUACAGAGUUCAAUCUCAAGACGAACACCAACUACGCAUGGAGGGUGACGGUGGGAGUGAUCAACCGCAGGGUCACCAUUGAUCAUGGUUGGGCCACCUUCGCCGUUGUUCACCAAAUCAUGAUCGGGUACAUGCUGAUGUUCAAGCUGCUAACCCCCGACACCAUGAAGGUGAUCGUCUGCCACGAUGAGGGCAUGGAGGUGGUCACCAAGUGCAAGAAGCAUGUCAACGCCUUCGCUGCGACCGCCUGAGCUCCUGUUGCCCGUUCCUUGUUGGUUCUUGUUUUAAGACUCGGGUUUCAUUUAAAACUUAUGGUAAUAUGUUGGUUUAAAACUUGUGAUGCAUGGUUAAGACUUGUGUUUGUGCCUAAGAUUGUUUUGUUGCUCCUAGUUUAGUUCUUUCUUGUGUGCCUUUGGUAACCUCACCACAUCGACGAGGGGUUUACCACACAACUGUUCUUGAUGUAACCAAACAACCGGACUUGUGUUUGCCCUCAAACAAGUCUGCAACUAAACAACAGGCCUUUCGUUCUAGCACAUGGAGACUAGAAGGGAUGCAGACAACCAAUCAACAUGCAGAUGUUGAUUUUUUGCCUGCAUAUGCUCAACCAGGUCCAACUAGGACAAGUAUGUAAAGUGGCAAAAAACGAUGCAGGUGACCAAACACGUCCUAUCUGACUCUGCGGGGCAGCACCAUGGGCAAUGUCGUUGGUCAUGCCCUUAUCGGUUUGUCCUUUUAGCCAGUUCUGGUAAUGAUUUUUUACAAUCGUUUGUAAUUGGAUGAAUAGUACGUUUACUCAUGAAUUUCAUUGUGUGCAUCACAAUUAAGGAUGGAUGCGGUCCGGGCCGGUCCGGCCCGUCACUGAGCUGCCGUUUGGACCGGCCGCCGGCAGUCCGGACCGGACAGAGCAGCGUGGUGGUCCUGUUUUAAAGGACGGGACCGGCGGCAGGGAAGCUCGGGACUGACCGAGAGGACCGGCCAUGGUGAGGUGACGGUGACCAUGGCGUCGACAAUGAUGGCAAGACGCGACUAUGGGUCCUAAUCGGAGGGGAAAACAAAGGGGAAAUGUGCAAUGACUAACGACGAACUCUAUGGCAGGGUCGGGGAGGCCCGAGAAGCAGCGACAGUGUGGUAAUCAACGACAAACGAUGGUGCCCGGACUUGGGGUUGGAUGAUGAUUGCAAUGGCUCGGAGGCGAAUUCGGCCAGCUCCUUGCUCUGGGAAGCAGAUCGCAAGGUUGCGGACCUCCAGGACAAGGUUGUUCAUCGCGGGGAGGCUGGUGGCCAUGUGUGCUCUGCACCGCGGCACGUGCGUGCUCUACUGGUGGCCUACGAGCUCUGGUGCUCCAGCUCGAACUCAAGGCGGCGCCACGAUAGGAGGGGAAGGAGGGAACGUCGUUUCUGUAUCUUGUGAAGGAACAGAGCGCAUCGUGUGCAGACUCUGCCCUGGCCUAGCGUGCUUGUGCUUGGCCUGGGCCCUUUCUCGGUCCGACUGGUGAAAGACCGGACCGGAUCGAUGUUUUCUUAGGCCUAAUUCCAGACGGCCUAAAGCUCGCUCGCCACGUCCAGCCUUACCAUAAUGACGCAGAGGCCGGAUAUCUUUCACAUGAAAAGAAUUAAGAAAAACUUGGAUAUUCUUCAUUUUUUUUAUAACUACUUGGAUAUUUUGAAGUCUACAAAGAAUGCCAUUGAAAACUCUGUGCGCUGAAUAAGUCAUGGUAAUAAAAAGCACUGAAGUGGAAGUACGUAGACUCUUAAGGUAAAACUUGAAACUCAUGUAAAUGUGAGAGAAAGAGAGAGUAGGUACCUUCACAACCACUUGGAAUAUAUGGGUUUCCUUGAAAUCCGUCCUUGCACAUACAACGAUAACCAAUAUAUACAUUUGUGUACUCAUUCGUGGAGCUGACGCCCAGGCAAAUGCUAUUGACGCUCACACAAGCAUACCCUGAACUGUUGAGACGUGCCUCCUGGCAGGUUAGAUUAGCGACUGCCCACUGAACAGAGGCGGACUCCCCUAAACCAUUGUAGAGAUUAGGCUCAUUAUCUAUGAGCGAUCUGAUGAAUGGUUCCAUAUAAUCUGAUGUGUAUUUAAAGCUCACAUGACCCUCGCUAAUACUGAUGUAAGUUAUGUAUUGUUCGUCUCCCCGUUCAUACCCAAAUUGCAGGGUUGAUGAUGUCAUGUCUGUGCACUUGAGAUGAAAUGACUCCCUAGCAAAACAACCUUCUUCUAGACCAAACGGAAAAGGAACGCUGAUGUUCCCGCAGUUUCGAGUGCAAUUAGAUUUCUGUUGAACUGGAUUAUAGCCUGAUAUCAAUGCAAAGUCGGUGAUAUAUUAGCUCUUAUAUAUACAACGAGAGAUUCACCAAGUUAUUUGACAGAGACGAAGUAAUUUUAUAAAUAAUUUCUUUGUUUUGAGGAAAGCGAAAACAUGAAGAAAAAAUUUAACCAUUUGCUAUUGCUAACCAUCUACUCCCUCUGUCCUAAAUAUUUGUCUUUCUAGAGAUUUCAACAAGUGACUACAUACGGAACAAAAUGAAUGAAUCUACACUCUGAAAUAUGUCUACAUACAUCCGUAUGUGGUAGUCCAUUUGAAAUAUCUAGAAAGACAAUUAUUUAGGAACGGAGGGAGUAAUAAGCAAGUUCCUCGUUAAUGGUUGAGACCACAUAUUUAAGAAAUAAUAUGGCACAAGAUAAUGGUUGAUAUGAGAUUAGCUAUUGGUUCCAAGUUCCAUUAAAUGGUAAUAAACAGUUAUUUAUAUUCAGCCCAAAAAUUACCUUUGUCGCGAUAACAUCCAUCAUUAUAUAAGCAUUGCCUGCAUAGCCUGCAUCACAGGCACACAUGUAACCGAUUAUUGACUCGAGGUUGUUAGGCAUGCACACGCUGUGGCUGCUAACGCAGGCAUAGUUGGUCAUAUUGUCCAAUGCGGCGGAGCAUGAUGUUUCAUCCGCGAUGGUCCAAGUGAGACCAAAAGACGUGGAAGUCACAUUGAUUCUAUCCCAAAGGGUGCUCCUCUUAUGGCGUGGCGGCUGGUCCUUCUCUACCCUGUGGGCUACAAACUUGAGAUCGAAAUCACUUUCUCCCAGCAUAAUAGAGCAACAUCCUGUACCGUUGCAGCUCUCCCGGGCCACUAGAUCCGUGAUUUGCUCAUUCGGACAACUAGCUGUGCAAAGCCUCUGGCCCGUGUUCAGGUCACGAUCGAGCUGGUAGAUAUCAAAGUCGCAACCAGUGAUAUCAAAAUAUGCAGUAUCAAGGUUGAAGGACCUCCCAGGUGCUUUCCAGGACAUGGUGUACUCAUUCAAACCAGAUUUCAAGCUGAUGACAUGUGAAAACUGUAUAUCAACAUCCUGGUAGCGGUUGUAAGAACCAAAACCUGGGGCGAUGAUGUCGUUGAUGACCUCCGUGGUGCCGUCGUGGAGGAAAAGUCGAUGAGGCAUCGUCUUGUCGUGAUGGUCGCAGAUGAGUUCGAAGUCUGGUUGCCGGAAGCAGCCGGCCCCAACGCCGAAGGGGUAUUCGAAUCUCAGGUCGCCACAGCCCUUUGGACAAGCAGCGAGCGUGGCGGCAGAUGGAGCUGUGGCGUUCGCCGCUCGGCUUCUCUGCGGGCCGGAUGCUUGCACCGUUGCCAUCCAUAGGAAGAGCAGUGCGAGCACACAAUGGAGUGCGUCGGGCAUCCUCAUCUUCAUUUUUCGCAAAGUAAAGUAUCUCGGUAAAUGAUACAGUAACGUAGGAACAUCAGACCUAUAUAUGCUUAAAUUUUGAGGGCUGGGUACUAUGAACUACGGACGACUCCCUACUGAUUCAUCGGCAGUGUGUUGUAUGUAUACCAACAAGCUACUGUAUUAUUUUUCCACGCGAGAAAAAAAAAACAAGCUGUCAUUUGGAGCCGGUCAGUCAAUCCUAGCUUUGAACUUUCAAAGCCAAAAUGAAAUCCAAUACGUUCUCUCACAGUAGCAUGAAUCGACACGGCAAGUGAACGUUUAGUGGCCCUUUAGCACCUUCUCGUCACUUUCAAACUUGCAAGGACCGCAUAUAUAUAUCAACCGUUCAACACCCUAGUGGAUUCCCNNNNNNNNNNNNNNNNNNNNNNNNNNNNNNNNNNNNNNNNNNNNNNNNNNNNNNNNNNNNNNNNNNNNNNNNNNNNNNNNNNNNNNNNNNNNNNNNNNNNNNNNNNNNNNNNNNNNNNNNNNNNNNNNNNNNNNNNNNNNNNNNNNNNNNNNNNNNNNNNNNNNNNNNNNNNNNNNNNNNNNNNNNNNNNNNNNNNNNNNNNNNNNNNNNNNNNNNNNNNNNNNNNNNNNNNNNNNNNNNNNNNNNNNNNNNNNNNNNNNNNNNNNNNNNNNNNNNNNNNNNNNNNNNNNNNNNNNNNNNNNNNNNNNNNNNNNNNNNNNNNNNNNNNNNNNNNNNNNNNNNNNNNNNNNNNNNNNNNNNNNNNNNNNNNNNNNNNNNNNNNNNNNNNNNNNNNNNNNNNNNNNNNNNNNNNNNNNNNNNNNNNNNNNNNNNNNNNNNNNNNNNNNNNNNNNNNNNNNNNNNNNNNNNNNNNNNNNNNNNNNNNNNNNNNNNNNNNNNNNNNNNNNNNNNNNNNNNNNNNNNNNNNNNNNNNNNCGUGCGGGCGCGGGUCUGGCGGAGCCAUCGGUGUCGGGGGGGGGGGGCACGGAUACGGCGACCGUGUGGCUGGGAGGCGGCGGUGCGCCCUACUGUGGUGUCGGCGGUUGCUAGGUCAUGCCCGAUCCGGUUUCCGUCAUGCAACAGGGGUGCGGGUGGCUGGUGGUGCUCCGCGCGUGGUGCGCAUGUGUGGUGGUGGCCGCCAUCUCAAGCGAGGGUGCCACAUCCCGGCGAAGGGGUGAUAACCCACAAGUAUAGGGGAUCGCAACAAUUUUCGAGGGUAGUAUUUCACCCAAAUUUAUUGAUUUGACACAACGGGCGCCAAAUAAUAUUUUUAAGUAUUAGCAGUUGAGUUGUCAAUUCAACCACACCUAGAGAACUAAAUAUCUGCAACAAAGUGUUUAGUAACAUAAUAAUAUGAUAGUUUGAUAGCAGUGGUAACAAUAGCAAUAGCAACAGUGACAAUAGCAGUUUUGUAGUAAUUGUAACAGCAGCAGUAACAAAAGUAACUUAGUAAAGAUCAACAACAAAAAACAUAGGCAUUGGAUCGACGAUGGAUAUUUGUGUUGGAUGAUAUUCAUCAUGUAACAAUCACAACCUAGAGCGAUACACAAUAGCUCCAAUUCAUCAAUGUAAUGUAGGCAUGCACUCCGUAUAUAGUUAUACGUGUUUAUAAUAAUAACAUGCAUGGCAUCUUUUGUCCUACCCUCCCGUGUCAACAGGGUCCAUAAGAAAAUGCAAGGGAUAUUAAGGCCUCUUUUUAAUAGACAAGCGAAACAAAGCAUUAACAUAUGAUGAAUAUAUGAACUCCUCAAACUACGGUCAUUACCGAAAACAAUCUCAAUUAUUGUCACCUUGGUGUAUGCGGAUCAUAACACGUAAUAGGUGCAUAUAAAUUGCAAGAUAGGAUCAAGAAUUCAAAUAUAUUCAUGGAAACACAAAGGGUUCAGAUAGGAAAUCAUGACACCCGGGCCCUAACAAUUUGACUCCAUUACAUGACAAAUCUCAUCCAAUUCCAUCACCGUCCAGUAGGCCUACGAAGAAAUUACCCACUUCCGAUAGCGCGCAUCAUGAAAUUGGUGAUGAAGAAGGAUUGUUGACGAUGAUGAUGGUGACGACACUCCCUCACCGGAGCCCCGAACGGACUCCAGAUCGGCCCUCCCGAUGAAGAUCAGGAGGUGGUGGCAGCUCCGUAUCGUAAUACGCGAUGGAACUUAUUCUCUUUUUUUCCUCGGGGAAAAGGAAUUUAUAGGCUUGAGAUUAGGGUCAUUGGAGCCAAUGGACCCCACAAGGUAACAAGGCGCGCCAAGGGGUGGCUGCGCCCUGUUUCCUUAUGGGCAACUGGUGGCCCCCUCCGAUGGAUCUUCGCUCCAGUAUUUUCUAUAUAUUCCAUAAAAAUCUCCAAAAUGUUUUUUCCAAUUCCGAAAACUUUUAUUUCUGCAUAAAAAACAACACCAUGGUAGUUCUGCUAAAAACAACGUCAGCCCGGGUUAGUUUCAUUCAAAUAAUGCAAAUUAGAGUCCAAAACAAGAGCAAAAGUGUUUGGAAUAGUAGAUACGAGAGAGACGUAUCAACUCCUUCAAGCUUAACUCAUUGCUUGUCCUUAAGCAAUUCAGUUGAGAAACUGAAAGUGAUAAAGAAAAAAAUUUACGGUCACUUUUUUCUUGUAUCCGUAUAUAAGCUUACAUAGCACCCAAGUUUUCAGCAAAGAUCAUUUACUAACCAUGCAAAUGAUAACACUUAGAAAUCACUUUUACUCAUAUCAAUGGCAUAAUCAACUAGCGAGCAAUAAUAACAUAUCUCGAAUGCCAUCAAAUUGUCAAAAUAAUUGUGGCACCCCGGCUCAGAGAAAACCAGAACGCCCCGUAUUCUAGCCCAGAGAUCGAGAUGAAGUCUUCUGGAAUGGCACUGCUUAGCAUAGAACAAACCAGCUCUUUAUUACAAUCUAUUUGGGUACAAUGAUUACAUCGGCAUGGCGACACUACGCCUGCCACUGUUGCUCUAUGCAAGCAGCAGAACAACACGAUGCAGCGAAAGAACUCUAGGAGCAGAACAACGACGACGGUGGUGAACUCCACUCCGCAGGGACUCUGGCUGGAACGCUUAUCCUAGCUCGCACGAACGGAAACCACGACAAGCAAGCAAUCAAAUCCGGCAUGACCUGCAAACUGGCAUGACACGCCAGGUCAGUACAUUGAAGGUACUUGCAAGCUCACAAUAACCAGAAGCAUUCAAGACAGACAACAACAUGGCAAUUACAGGUUAAACAGGAAUUAUCAUGAUAUCAUUAGAACAUGGCAUGACCAAUGUAAACAUGAUACAACUAUCACAACAUGAACAUAUUAAUCCGACAAUACUAGCAUGCAACAUGAUGACACUAUAUGCACCAUUUAUUCUGCUCCGGUUAGCUCGUAACCAACACAUGCAUCACUUACCAACCUCGGACAUCACACGAUCAUCUCAGGAUCAAAUCAAGCUUGGUAUAAAGAAUACCGUAGUAAUCAUUAAAUGACCACAAGGAGAUUGAUCUUUACCCACGAUUCUCGCACAACAUCACGAAUAUACAACGACUCGGUAUCCUUGAUACCACCGUGAUCCUUAUGGCGAUCACAACCACGACCAACAUUUGGUCUCAAACCGUGAUCCUUAUGGCGAUCACAACCAACUUAUCUCAUCAUCGAACCGGGGUUGUCAUUAAUCAAGUUAUUCUUAUUACUGUUGACUCACGGUGUGACCUACUUUUGAACUGGGCCCUUAUCCGCGGGCGCGGCUAUCAAUAGAUUUAAUAUACACUCUGCAAAGGUAGUACAUCGUACCCACACUACGGAACCCAUGGCCUCGCACUCCCAUUUGGGUGGACCAAUGGCGUUCCGACAAAACCGUCCUACUGCCAUGACACUCUCCCGGCCUCUCCGACUCAAUCCCCAUCGGGCUAGUCCUGGGUGGCCCUGUGUCUACCUCAAUACACCUCAAAACCACCGUCGUGGCCACGAUCCACUCUGGGACCCAAACACUUAACUCAUCAACUGGCACACAAGGUUUAUGUCCGCCUACCUGAUCAGGGUAGCGCGCGCCCAUAAACUUCCCUCGUUGGAGGCACCGGCGAGGGGCACAACAAUAGACCCAGUUAGGACCGUCCCAUAUCGGUAAGCGUGGUUGCACUGGUCAGCAUCGUUUCAGCAGCACCAUGACUCACCCAACAGUUGUUCAAGUUCAAUUUAAUCCGGUUAAACUUGAAUGCAAAUAUGGUGAGUCAUGAUAAAAUAACAUGAUGCCAAUAAUAAUACAUGAACAUGAUAUCAACAUAAUAUGAGGGUAUCACAUAACUAUCCACCAUAUCAACAAUAAACCAUAUCCACUGAGCAUGGCAUACUGACUAGCAUGAACAUCACCAACAUCAACAUGUACUACUAGCAAGCAUAAACAUAUGCAAGGUAAUACAUCAGGUAUAACAUGAUCACAGAGUACAAAACAACAUAGUACAAAAGUGCACAUGCAAAUCUAAACAUUACCGGAACAACGAUAACCAUAUUUUCAACAAGCAAACAAUUAAUAAAGAUUCAAGUUGAAAACCAUGGCUACUGCAUGACUAUCAUGCCAGUGGGUAUUGUGGCUUGCCUGGGGAUGAAGAAGGCACCGGGGAGAAGUGCGAGAAACUCGCGGAACGAAUCGCCGGAAAACGUACUCUCUCGGAGGGGGCUGAAUAAGGGCAAGGGCAUAAUGGUCAUUUUCACAGUGUCAAACCAUAGUGAAAGCAUGACCAAUAGAACGGGCUCGACGAAACGAAGAAGUAGGCUUUGGAAUCACCUCAUUUGGAGUUACGGAUAAAAAGUUACAAGGUGAAGAAGAUCAGUGACCAAUCUGUGAAUAUUUUCAUCACCAACAAGUCCCUGGGAGGAAAAACUGAAAGCGCAUAAGGAUGAAUACGUUUUCUGAAAGUGAAAACGUAUUAUGAACCGAAGUAGAAUAAAAAUACAUUUUCACAAAAGAAAAGUGUACCCGGGAGAAACCCGUCUCCACUUAUCCACGUGGACCCGUGGCUGGAGCCACUUCCAGGCGGGUCCCACGCGCAGGGGGAGGGGCCAGGCUCGAUCGUCCUCUUCCUCCCGCGCCUCUGUUCCUCCCAUGGAACAGAACGGGGCAGGGGAAGGAAGCGGCAAGGGGGCCGGCCGGCUCCGGCCGUCUCUGGCCGAGCCUAGGGCACCGGCGGGACCGGGGCGACGACGGAGUCACGUUCAGAGGGAGCAUGGCCGCCGGGGAGGAGAGGGCUGGAGGGGAGAGGCGGCGCCAGGAGGAGGACCGGGUCGGGCGGGCGGUGGUGCUCUCCGGCGAAGCAGGCACUCCGGCGAGGGGCAAGGGGGUGGAGUGGCUGAGUGGGACGAGGGGAGUGCGGUGGAUGUGGAGGAGAGGCGUGGGGAGGCCUGUGGUGGCCGGACCCAAGCCGAGGCCGAGGCGGCCAUGGAGGGUGACGGCGAACAACGGCGAGAUGAGAUGCCGUUGCUUCGGUGGACUAGGAGGGACGAGGAGGGGCUUGGGAGCUGCGGGAGAGUCUAGGGGUCCUUAUAUAUGCCGAGGGAAGGCUUCUGGAGCUCACGGGCGAGCUCCCGACCAAGCAUUAAUGGAGGGCAGUGGCUGGGCAUGGCACGGGCAUGGACCUAGCGACGCAUUCAUGGCGAACCACGACGAGCCAUCGACAAAGGGCGAUGCAGGGCAUCACGGGGAAGCUCCAGGACAUGGUUGGACGUUGAGACGAGGGGGGAGCCGAUGAGAACAGGGGCGGGAAGAAGCCAGAGCGCGCAAUCUGCAUGACGCAAGCGUGAUCUCCACACGCACUGGUGCAAAUGGCAUGUUCUGGCCGGGACGACCAUGUCUAGUGGAAUGACCCUAGUGACCUAAGUAUAAAUAGGGAAACAAAUCAUUCCAUAGGCAAAAAAGUGAUUUGCACUUAGCUCCAAAGUAAAUUAGCAGCGAAGUGUUUGUGCUGUGCAGUGGGGACACCAGCUAGGUAACUCAGUAAAUAGCUUGUCUGGGAGGUUUAUCUAUCGAAGGACUUUCAUCCUGGAGGUUUUGAGGGUAAAUGGAUCAAUAUUUACUGCAGUUGCUUCACAACUGACCAAAAUGGUCCAGAAACUAGAUCAUGAUGGUGCACUCACAUGGAGUGUCAACUUGAGCUCAAAUUGGGCAAGGCUUGAUAAUUUGGUCAAAUGAAGAGUAUGUAAAAAGCUCAUGCCAAAUGGACAAGCCAAAAUGGCACUUGCUUCACAAACAUCUCUGCUGACCAGAAACUUGGAAUAAUUUUGGUGGUCAACUGGAUCAAUUAAAUGAUGCCAAAUUGGGUGGAGAGAUAUUUUAUGGGUAUAAGAAUGAUCUGGUAAUUUAUCAGGAUUUUUGAAGCAAUAUAAAAUGCACUUGCUUCACAACCUGAAAAUAUUGCCAGAGUCAAAGAUUUGCUUCUGUGCUCACAUAGAUAGUUGGAUGGGGCUACAAAUGGGUGGAAGGGGUUAAUAUGAGCACUUAAGGAGUGUGCAAAAGUUCAACUCAUGUGUGUACUCCUAGCUAGUACUUCCUUCACAAAGCUUUCUGUUUGACAGAAACUUUGAAAAAUCACUGAGGAAGAUUGACUAGGAAAAUAAAUUUGAACUUGUUCAUGGAGCAAUUAUUUGGACAUAUAAACAUACCAAAAAGGUGGGGAGCCACUAGGAAAAAUAUAUAUGACACUUCCUUCACAAAGUGCCAUUCAGGGCAUAAUAGAAAAAGGAAUAUUGGGGAAUUAUUUUUGAACAUGGCAAUGAAUUUUUUUCUCCAUAUUUGAUCAAGAUAUGACCCAAAAAAUUUAUGAGAAUUAUUUGAGAAUUUUUGGAGUGAUGGAAAUAUAGGUUGCUUCACAACCUAGGGCAAUUUGAGUUAUUCCUUUAAUAGAAAAGGAAUAUUCCCAAUAAAAAGAAUAUUGGGAUGUGGGCUAGGAUGGAAAUAACAGGGUCUAGGGAAAUAUUUGGGAAUGACAAGCCACUCUCGAAGCAAAGAAGAGGGCAUCUUCUUCAGUUUCCAGACCACAAAGCCACGGAAAAAGAAAACUCAGGCAAAAACCUCGGAAAAACAAAAGAAAAAGAAAGGGCCAAAAAUCAGGCUGUCACAAACCUUACCCCCUUAAAGAAAUCUCGUCCUCGAGAUUUGGUUGCUCAGGGAACAAGUACGAAUAUUCUGACUUUAGGAAACCGUUUCCAACUCGGGUAUCCUUUUUUUCUUUAUUGUUGUUCCCAUUAAAUUUUAUCUGACUGGUCCUGGGGUGGUUUGAUUCACUGUAUCCACAUCCUAAUAGAUCUUACCUUGCUUGUUCAUGUUUAUACAGGCUUCAAUUUCUUUUUAGAUCUGCCGACUAAUUGAGUGUGAUUUAAUUAUCACGACUGAAAUAUAUGCCCGUCUCACAAAUCCUCCGCUGGGUGUGCCACCCGACACUGACAACCUUUCAUGUAAUGAUGAUCAGAUUUUUCUGAUGAAAACUGAAGCUCUGACUCAUUGCAUUGGGUUUCUCCACUAAAUGCAGGUCCUUUGGGUUCCAAACAGUGAGUUAAAACAUAACCGUUUCCUGACAGAUUCUGACUCAUCGCAGAAGUUUCUGAAUCAUCUUAACUGGUUCCAUUGUCGUGAGUAUCGGAUCUGUACCAAAUAUUUGGUUGUCUCCUGUCGCGGUCAGCAUAAAGGGUUUGGCCUGUAUGAUAAUAUUUGCAGACUUGACUGACGGUGGUUCUGACGGAAAAUUUUUGUUCACGACAGGCUAUCCAUGAUGAUUCAUAUAAGUGAGGACUCAGGCUUCCAGCCUGUUGUUCCUCAUGCCGAUUACUCAUGCUGUAGGCAUAUUUAUGUGGAUCAAUACUGACUUAAACUGUCCGGGGGAUCUGCACCAUGGGGGUCGUGUACAAUUUUCAUACCUGCCUCACUGGUCUCGCUCCUUCAUUAUUAUUUUUUUGGUCUGGAUCCUUGGCUGAAAGAGCUGGGCCAUAUUGUUUCUCUGUAUGACCAUAGGUACUGUCGCUGCAAUUUUUCGGCAAUCGUAGCUUAUCCUCGUUUUUCUGACAAGGUAACCCAUUAAAUGGCAGGUUCAACACCUCUCAAGUUUUGAUUGUUGAGAAAUGAUCAUCCGAAACCCUUGCAAAAAAUCGGCAAAUAAAUCAAUAGCCACCAAGGGUAUGUAUCGAUCGCCCCUCUGUUUUUCACGCCCUUUCUCUCGGUUGGUCUGAUCUGCCGUGGUGAAAGGUUGGCUAGCUCCGUUCGUUUCCUGCAUCCUUGUAGCGGAAAUGCAGAAUCGAUCGGCUCACAGAUCUGGGACCUGGCUGUUGUGCAGAGUGGGGCGAUUAGUGGUUGUCGUGUGAUUAUUUGUGUCUGGAACUGCGAGACCAUUAGAACUCGACAACUUUAGCUGUCGAUAGAUUGUUUGUAGGACGGUCAAUGCCAUGCGCUGAAUGUUAGGAUGGCCAUCUGCAGUUAAAUUACAAUGCCAUGCCAAUCUGCAGUUAAAUUACAAUGCCAUGCUCCGAAUGUUAGGAUGUUCAAUGCAGUAGUCCAGUCUGUAGUUUGGCUCUUAGGCUUGCUUUUUCUGCCAUUUUUAUUGAUGAAUGCAACUGCUAUUUCUUUCGUUUUAUCCAAAAUGUCACCUUAUCUCUAGUGCAAUUGGAGGUUAAAAUGUUUGUUCAGACAAUAGAGUUCAUGCUACGACAGUCACUGUAUUGUUUGAAUGGAAUUUGCAUUCUGUAAUGGGACUGAAGUUUACCUCUUUGGCUUGUGUUUGCUGUGCCCUAGAGAUGAAUACAGCGCCCUAGAAUAAUACCAGCCUCUUUAUUAACACUUCCUGGAUUUCUUCCAUAUCUGGGGGACAAUGGAGGUUGGGAUACUUGUAUUUUGCUGACAUUAGUUUCCACUGUUGUGUACCAAUUUUAUGAUAUUUUUAGGGGAGUUUCAUGAUAUAUUGGUAAUGUAGAAUUUGUAGGUGGAUUGUGCAUUGGUAGUUAUUGUAGUAUAGCUUGCAGUUUGGUGCUUCCUUGUGAUCCAGCACCAUUCUAAUCCAGUAGGUAGUCACAAAGAGAUGUAUUCCCACACCGUUUAGAUUGGAAGAAAGGUGUAAUUUCUGAUUUUCAGAUUAGGCCACGUUCAGGCUAUAUUACUAAACUAACGUAGUCUGUGUAAUGCUUAUACCAUUUUUGGGUAACUGUUUAAGAUUGUCCUUUGUUGGUGGUUAAAACAUUGGAUGGACUCGUAUUAUAUUGGAUUGAUUACUUUUUUACAUGUGGCUCUUUUCAAAUAGUCUAAUUUGUUUGUUUGCUUGUUCAGGGAAGUUGAUUAUCCUCGCAAACAACUGCCCUCCACUCAGGAAGUCUGAGAUCGAGUACUACGCUAUGCUGUCCAAGAUCAGCGUUCAUCAUUUCCAUGGAAGUAAGAUUAUUUGAUCCUAGUCUGAAACCUUUCUCAAUGCUUGUUUGACGUAUGCAGUUCAGCUUGUUUAUACUAUCAAAUAAUGAGUUGUGGCCUAAUGCUAACGAAUGGGCCUUUGUCCUUUCAGACAAUGUGGACCUUGGAAGUAUUACCGGGUGUGCUGUUUGAGCAUCCUUGACCAUGGUUCGUCCCUGUUAAACUCAAACCUCUUCAGUCAUUUUUCAUUUGCCCUGAUAACUUUGUACUGAGCGUUUGCUACACAUGUUUCCAGGUGACUCGGACAUCAUCACCACCGUUCCUCAGUGAAGACAAGCUUACCUAUCCUAGCCUAAGAUGAUGUAGUGUGGAGAGUCGUGCUUGCAAGGCCGAUGGCCGUCUCUCGUUAUCGAGCCGGAGCUGCCAAAUGCAGUUUCAAACCAAACAUGGCUGUUUUUGUAAGGCAUUCCUAUGGGUUUUGUUUUGUGAUGAGAUGAUUAUUCCUAUGGUCCUUUUUACCGUGCGCAAUUGGAUGAUCAGUUCUGUCAACAUUGUUUUGCCUUGCUCCUCUAGUGAAAUAGAACUAAAACAACUAGUCGCUUAGCUGAAGAAUUGCGUGAGACUAGGUGAUGCUUGUGCAAUCUAUGGAACGAUUUUUGUUUCGCCACGCUGGAGUAGAG